rnacentral:lncRNA from 1 species
UUUUUUUUUGUUUUUUCGCCCGGUGUUCGAUAUUCGCUUUGGAGCCCGAUUAUAUCCGGAUUCGCAUCGCGAAGGGCCCUAUUCAGGGAAAAGCGCUCUCUACCAAGAAUUUCUUCAUAUCCAAGACUCGAACUCAAGACAUCUAAUUAACAAAAGAGCAGCCUCAUCUAUUGCACUACAUCUGUCACGAUUCAAAAUCCACUAAGGGUCGUGGCGACGCUGGACACCAUUGUCAGGCAAGGCAACGAAAUUACUUGUUGAAGUUCUCCUUUUAAAAAUCUUGAAAACUGAGCUAUUCCUUCAAUUUUUGUAAAUAAAAAGAAAGAUAACCGCUUCGAUUCGAAUAAAAUAAUAGGCAAUUAAUACAAAAAUAUUUCAAAUUAUUCCAGAACCCAGUGUCACACGUGCAUGAGCAUCUAUAAAGACAGUAAUAAAAUACAAUAUCCGUCCGAAAUUCAGUGGACAAAAAGUAAUUAUAUUAUGCUGAAAAAGGAUUAUACUAGCUGCGGGCCACCUUAAACAAUGCAACUCACCUAGUCCCAGAAUCAUCUGUGCUCUACGCUCAAUAGGACACUAGUAACACAUGAACCAAUGCAACAAAAAUGCACAGAAGUAUAGUAUGAGUACGAAAACAACGUGUACCCAAUGAGUAUCCCAUCUAAUCUCGAAGAAGUAGAGAUGAUAGAACGACUUCGACACUUACUAAGGGUCCAGUAAUGUGAUGUCGAUAAUACAUUAAAUCGUGAAUUUCUAUAUACAUAAUUUUUAACUCAAUAGAAGGAAACAAGCAAACAAUUAUUUCUUUCAUAGGAGAUUUUCAAAAUUUAUUUUUAUUAUUUAUCCAAAUAUUCUCAAGUCAUGAAGAGGCAAUAACAACUUUAAUAAGUUCAAGACAGCAAUACAAGCAUGCGCAAAUCAUGUUGAGGUCGACGGCCCGCUCCAAUAGAAAAUAAAUUGUGCACUGUUGAUGGUCAAACGACGUGAACCAUAGAUGCAUCUAUUUAAUCUUCCAAGGCGUUCAGCCCGCUCCAACAGGAAAUAAACACACACGCAGUCAGUCAAAGAGUCAUCAUGGAAAAACUUUUCGAAGAAAAGCCAAUUCUCAUUUAAUAAUUUAAGAAAGUAAAGUUUAAAUCAUGUUAGAAAUUCGUUUGCUAAUUUAAUAUGAUUUACGCAAGUCAAACUGUCAAUAAGUUUACUAUUACUCCAAGUAUGUAUGCUUUUGGGUCCUAAAUACCCGAUAAAUUGCAUAAUAGUAGCUACAUACGGGCUCUCGUCACCUCGUGCGUACGUAGCUCCCACAAUUAGGAGCACAUAGCUAAUUAUUUCACCUAUAGGGACAAUUCCCUCUUACAAGGUUAGAAAGGAGACUCACCUUGCUCUGAAGUUCUAUAACCGACAUUUUACACCCUUUCGAAGACUCAAAUCGAUGUAAAAAUUCUCUAAAACUGACCAAUAAUUAUAUAAACACGUUAAUAUAUUUUCAAUUACUCAUUAUAGCCCAAUUUAUAACAAUUUCUAACCCCAAACGAAAAGUUGACAAAAUUACCCUCUGGCCCACGUGCUCGGAUUCCAAAAUUUUCCUAAAAUAAAGAUUACCCAUGACCUUAUUAACUCAAAUAUAUAAUUUAUUCUCAAUUCCAUGCCCAAAAUCAUGGUCAAAAUUCAAAAAUCUCAAUUCUAGGUUUUUCAUUAAAAUCCCAAAUUUUCCUUUAGAUUCUUAUGAAUUUUGAUGUUAAAUCUAAGAAAUAAUCACAAAAUAUAAUUAAAAAUUAGUUAAUGGAACCUACCCAAUGAUUUGAUACGAAAAUCUACUCGCAAAAUUGCUCACUCUCGGACUUAGGAUUCAAAAUAUGAUAAAAUGAAGCAAAAACUCGAGUUACACAGCUAAAAUCAAGCUGCAGAGGUCGCAUUUGCGAUCCAGGGUUCGCAAUUACGAACCCUCACAAAAUCAAAGAAAGCUUUCGAAAUUGCUAAGAAAGAAGGGCUGGAAAAGGUCCCAUUUGCGACAAAAACUUCGCUAUUGUGAACUAGGCAUCUCAAUAGCAAUGGAUAUGUUCGCAAUUGCGACCAUACCAGAAGUAUCAGUUUUUCCCGACACAAAAUUGAGCAUAACUUCCUCAUACUAUGUCCAAAUUUGAUGAUUCUUUUUGUUGUGGCUCCGUAAUUACGAUACUGCUCUAAUGGUUCAAUAAAUAUUGAAUUUGGAUCUCAUUUGCUUAAUGUGGUACCCCUUUAUUCCCAAAUAAUACGAUGUUGAAACAUCGAAUAAGAGCGCAAUACAACCCGAAACACACCCCAGGCCCUCGGGACCUCAUCCAAUUACACCAACCCACUCCAUAACAUAACACGAACCUGCUCGAGGCCUCAAAUUAUACCAAACAACACUAAAAUAAUGAAUUAACCUCCAAUUCAAGCUUUAUGAACUUUAGAACUUCAAACUUCUACUUUCGAUGGCGAAACCUAUCAAAACAUGUUCGGUUGACUUCAAAUUUCGCACACAAGUCAUAUUUGACAUUACGGAUCUCAACUUUCGGAAUCGGAAUCCAACCCCGAUUCAAAAAAUCCACUUUCGGUCAAACUUCUCCAAAAAUCUUCAAUUUUCUAACUUUAGCCAGAUGGCUCAAAAAUGACCUACGGACUUCAAAAUUAAUUUUCGAUCAUGCUCCCAACUCAAGAAUCACCAUACGGAACUACUCCCAGACACGAAAUCCCAAAAGGACAUUGAUAACAUUGAAAUGCACUUCAAGCCAAACUUAUGAAAUUCCUUCCAAAAGGCUAACUUCUACAAUAGGCACCAAAAUGCUCCCGGGUUAUCCAAAACUCGGACCAGACACCCGCCCAAGUCCUAAAUCAUCAUACGAACCUGCUAGAAUUCUCUAAAAUCCAAUCUUAGUUAAUUCUUUCAACAUAAAGCUUCCGAAAUGAGAAUUCUCUUCCCAAAUUAACCUUGAACUUCCCGAAAUUCAAUUCUGAUCACGCGUACGAGUCAUAAUACCUGAAAUGAAGUUGCUCAUAGCCUCAGACUAUUGAACGACGUGCUAGGGCUCAAAGCAACCGGUCGGGUCGUUAAAUUCUCUCCCACUUAAACAUAUGUUCGUCCUCGAACAUGCUGAGAACUACACUGAAGUAGUCUGAAAUUACUGUUUGACACCUCCUGCACCUUCCCAUGCUACCACAACCCAGUUGAGCACAUUAGUUUGAUCAAUUUGAAGAUAUCCUUUUUGGCUUAAGCAAAUAAGCAAUUCCAACAUCCGGAAUUAUAUGCUAGAACUGUUUCCAACAUACGCUUCAUGUGCUACCACAACCCAGUUGAGCACAUUAGUUCGAUCAAUCUGAAGAUAUCAUUUUUCGCUCAAGCAAAUAAGACUUAUGGACCAAUUUCAACAUCUAGAAUUCUAUGCUAGAAUUUUUUCCAACAUACGAAUACCAUAUCAAUCACUAUAUGCUUAACCCCAAACAUGACUGCAUACCUUUGCUAAAUUCAUACCUUGCACCACUUUACUCAAGGAUCACAAUAACAUUCCCUGAUCCAAUUAGUCGAAAUUCUACGAAUCCGAUGCUUUCAUUGCACCUCAUGACAUACACAGGUAUUACUCUAACUCUUACAAUGUUUCCAUGACGGACGAGAUGUGUAGAAAUUCAUAACCACUACCGAAACAAUAAUUCAUUGAGUCCAUACUCCUGGCAAGAACUAUAACCUUAUUUUGAACCAAACAAUGGACUUAGCUCCUUAAAAUACUUCAUAUACUCUGAUUGCAAUGAUCUCAAAUUCAAUGAUCUCGUCUCACCCAAUACGAACAACUCCGGCUAUAAACCAUCGGACAUGAUCAAAAGUCUCAUAUGAUUCCAUAAUGUGCCAAUAGGGUACCAAUUAGAAUGCGAUACAAAAGGGAAAACGAACUCUGAAAAGGAAAUUCAAUUACCCCAUUUGCGAAUCAUACAUUCGACGCUGGCACGCAGCUAAUAUGAGUUUUCCUCAGAAAAAAAAGGAAACGAACACAUAAAACAGAUAUAGGGAACUGUAGUGAACAUCAUACUGUUGCAACGUGCAACCCGAUCCAAUUAACAUACCCAUGGCACCGUGCCACCCGAUCCAAAUAACAUAUACCCAUGGCAGCGUGCCACCCGAUCCAAAUAACAUACCCAUGGCAGCGUGUCACCCGAUCCAAAUAACAUACCCAUGGCGGCGCGUCACCCGAUCCACAGAUAGAACUCACAUAAGGAGAUGCACACCGAGCUAGAUUGCUUAUUACAACAAAAUACCGAAUAUCGGUAAGCACGCUAAGUGCAUAAUAUCAUCCGUGGGGGAACAUAUAGUGCCAUAAGCUAUAAAAGUCAAGCACAACUGAGGUGCGAUAACAAUCAGAAUCUCAAGAGCCAUUUUGCUCAUAUAAUAUCAUUUUUACACGGACCUUCAACGCAUAAGCAAUUUCUCAAGUCGUAUCACAACUCACAUGGAAAAAUGUAUCACUGCAUAAAAUAUCUGACAUAGAAAUAACACCCUGACUACUCCUUCAUAUGGAGCGGAUUACUGAAAUCAACACGUUUAGCCUGAUAUAGCGCCCAUAUUCACAUUUGAAUCCAUCCACAUAAGAACAUCCAUCAUAGUCAGAGAAAUCAUCUGCAACCACCACCCAAUAGACUGAGUGCCCUCCAGGAAUCUAUUCUUAAAUCAACGAUAUUAUCACAACCUUUAUACUUGGUUUAAGUCUUUAAUCAAUCAAGUGACUACCGACCACACUCAUACGAUAUUCCUGUGGGACACACUCCCGCAACCUACCAUAACAAAUAACUGGGUCGUACCUCCAAACCACCGGCCGUACUAAUGCCAAAAAGCGAUCAAGAAUCAUUCACCAGGAUGCAAAGUCUUCCUUACAAAACCACACUUAUACAAUCUUCCUGCGGGACGCACUUCCACCACCUACCAUAACAAUUAAUUGGGUCGUACCCCUAACUACCGGUCGCACAAUCGCUUAGAAGCAACCAAGAAUCAUUAAUCGGGAUGCAAAGCCGUUUUUCACAAAUCACCGAUCUCAGGCGAUGCUGAGGAUAAUACCAGCUUACUUCAAUCAUCGAAACUCCUUUCCUGCUCAUCCGAGCUCAUGAUAUCCUUGUCAUUACUGAACCGUAAUCUUGAUCCUCACUUCAAAUAUCCGUUCCACUCACUACACCCAACUUGACAAUAUAAGAUAGAAUACGCAUCAUAACUCCGGAACCACCAAAAGACUAACAAUUCAUCAUAUAAAAGCUUCUCGCUUAACUCAAUUCAGGAGAACCAUAGCGAUACACAGGUGAAUUCUCACAAUCGUGGAACUAUGCAAAUAUCUAAGUGGUGGUAUAAGCCACCAUAGCCCUUCCGGGACACGCUUCUAUAUAACAGGCCACAACAGUAGAAUUCUUUCUGAUUGACACCAAUUGUGGCGGCUGACAAGCCUCACACGCACUGUCACAAAGCACUAAUCACUACCACCCAUUUGCCAAUUCAACAAUGGCUAAUGAAUCUAUCUCCUUCCGAUUUAUCCUUGAUUUCCUUAUGAAUAAUAAUAACUCCAUUCAACACAUAACAUCCUCCAUCUGUACUUAUCCCGAGUGACUUUGAAUCACGAGACCAUGCUGUCUAAAAUCCCACGAAUCAUUUUGAACCUCCCAAUUGCCACAUUGCAAGUCAACACAUCAGAUAACAUUUUGUGCCUCUUCUCAUAGGCUUCUAUCAAGCUUGAUUCUUAACCUUACCUAUAAGCUCGAAAUCACUAGGCAUCACACCUUAUCUUUGAAUUCUCUAGAACCAUUAUUGAGAACCACCUGCUUUGACUUGGCUCGAAUAUAAUAAACUCCAUAAUUCUUCUAGCACAAGCAUACCCUCUAGACGGAACACCCGACAUAAUUACUCCCCAAGUCUGAACAUGAGCCAACAAGGCCAACCAUAGCACAGCUUUAACAUCCUUUUGCUCAAACUACCACUUAUGCUCCUUUACCGCUGCUAAAAUAACUUACCAAUACGUCGAUAACCUAAAUCCUUACAAGAAGCUAAACAUACAACCCAAUCUUAGGCGGUGGGACUCUCCCACUUGGCUUGAAGCCAUUUAUUACACAACUCUAGAAUUCGAUAGGAUUCUUAAUCUCUUUUUGACACAACCCUGGUUCAACCGCCUAAAUUAUCGAAAUAUUUCUGUAAAACCCCCUUUUUAUAUUCUGAAUCAUCAAAGACAUUUGCAAAACCGAUCUCUUUGCUCUAUAACCAAUAGAACCUUUUCAUAGAAGCUUCGCCAACCACGCGACCGCUCACCUGCUCACAGGAAAACCUACAUGUAAAAAUCACUCCCCGGCAUCUUCCAUUACUGCAACACGGGGUACAAUCACUACGACAUCAAUAACCCAUCCUGAUCCCGAACUCACUCUCCAGCGGCACAAGUCCAUUCACCCCCUGUGGACAUCAAUUAACAGUGCGGCAACAUUCUUCCAAUUCAAUGUUAUAUUGCAUCCUCCUUUAUUCAAGCAGCUCCUUCCCAUUAUAUCGAAUCUCCUGCCGCGUAAUAGACCAUACUUCAAAUUAAUUCGUAGGUCCAAAUCACCAAUCACUAAAAUUUUCCCAAAUCACUCCAAACUCUUAUUAAGGUACGUGGUCACACUACCACAAUUCCCAUAUGCAACUCUGUCAUUCUCCCACUUUGGCGGAACUCAUCUAUUUAAUCGACUACUCAACCUUUGCUUCUCAUACUUGGCCUUCUAGAAAUUUUAGCCACCACCUGACACUUCCCACAUGUCUUUCCUCAUCGUUUUCUGCUCAACUGUUACCUUAAAUAAAUCCAUCUUUGUAGCACUUGAACCCAUGAAUCACUACUAACCUUUAAACAUUUAUUAAGAUCGCCUUUCUCGAGCCAUCAAAGUUGGAAACACCGACUCAAUCUGAACCACCGCACCCCGUGAUAUUUACUAUUGUCUUUCCAUUAUUAUAUUACUAGGCGAAUUGCAGAAAACCAUAACACCGGAGAACAUAACACAUACAACCGAGGACGAUGACACUACAUCACAAGGCGACGGUAAUAGCUCAAAUAACCCCGGAGGGAGUAACAUCUGCACCACAUUUGUAGUGCCUUUACAAUUCUUCCAUUAUCGAUUUAUAACAAGCGGUUUGCGUCACAUAAGAUAGUGUAGGAAAGAAACAAAGGCAUAGGCCUCAUAGGAAGUCAAAUCUCACGAUAAUGAAUAAAGAAGGUAAGUACUCCUAACAGUCCUGCAGCCUCCCGAGGAUAAGUACAUACGUCUAUAUACCGAUUUGCGAGACUCCACUAGACUUGCUCAUGACUCGUGAGACCCUAGGAACCAAGUACUUGAUACCAUGAUAUCACGAGCCAAAUUCCACUAAGGGUCGUGGUGGGCCGGACACCACUGUCAGGCAAGCCAACCUUACUUGUUGAAUUUCUCCUUUUAACGAUCUUGAAAACUGAGCUUUUGCUUCAAUUUUAUAAAUAAAAAGAUAACCGCUUCUAUUCAAAUUAAAUAAUAGGAAAUUAAUACAAAUAUAUUUCAAAAUCAUCCCAGAACCCGGUGUCACAAAUGCAUGAGCAUCUAUUAAGACAGUAAUAAAAUACAACAUCUGUCUGGAAUAUAAUGGACAGAAAGUAAAUACAUUAUGUUGAAAAGGGACUAUACUAGCUGCGGGCCAACAAUGAAAUUCACCUAGUUCCAGAAUCAUCCGUGCUGCUACGCCAAUAGGCCAUGAGUAACACAUGAACCUGCGCAACAAAAAUAACAGAAGUAUAGUAUGAGUAUGAAAAUAACGUGUACCCAAUGAGUAUCUCGUCUAAUCUUAAAGAAGUAGAGACAAGAGGUCGACUUAGACACUUGCUAAAGGUCCAGUAAUGUGAUGUCAAUAAUACAUUAAAUCGUGGAUUUCGAUAAAUAUGAUUUUUAAUCCAAUAAAAGAAAACAAGUAAACAACUAUUUCUUUCACGGGAGAUUUUCAAAAUUCUUUUUUCAUUAUUUAUCCAAAUAUUCUCAAGCCAUAAAGAGGCAAUAACUACUUUAAUAAUUCCAAGGCAGCAAUACAAGCAUGCGCAAAUCAUGCUGAGGUCGACGACACGCUCCAAUAAAAAAUAAACUAUGCACUAUCGAGGGUCAAACGACGUGAACCAUAGAUGCAUCUAUUUAAUCUGCCUAGGCGUUCAGCUCGCUCCAACAGGAAAUAAACACACACAGGUAGUCAAUCAAGAAGUCAUCAUGGAAAAAUUUUCCGAAGAAAAGCCAAUUCUCAUUUAAAAAUUUAAGAAAGUGAAGUACAAAUGCUACUAGAAAUUUGUUUACUAAUUUAAUGUGAAUUAAGCAAGUCAAGCUAUCAAUAAGUUUACAAUUAAUCCAAGUAUAACAUGCUUUUAGGUCCUAACUACCCGGAAAAUGGAUUAAUAGUAUCUAUGGAUGGGCUUUCGUCAGCUUGUGCGUACGCAGCCCCCACAAUUAGGAGCACAUAACCGAUUAUUUCACCUAUAGGGACAAUUCCCUCUUACAAGGUUAGAAAAGAGACUCACCUUGCUCCAAAGUUUCAUAACCAGAAUUUCACGCCCUUUCGAAAACUCAAUCGAUGCAAAAAUACUCCAAAACUAACCAAUAAUUAUAUAAAUCCAUUAAUAUAUGUUCAAUUACUCAUUAUAGUCCAAUUUAUAACAAUUUCUAACCCCGAACGAAAAGUUGACAAAAUUGCCCUCGGGCCCACGUGCUCGGAUUCGAAAAUUUUCCGAAGAUAAAGUUUACCCAUGACCUUAUGAACUCAAAUAUAUAAUUUAUUCUCAAUUCAAUGCCCAAAAUCAUGGUCAAAAUUCAAAAAUCUAAACUUCUAGGUUUUUCAUUAUAACCCCAAAUUUUCCUUUAGAUUCUCAUGAAUUUUGAUGUUAAAUCUAAGGUAUAAUCAUAAAAUAUAAUUUAAAAUUAGUUAUAGGAACCUACCUCACGAUUUGAUAAAAAAAUCUACUCUCAAAAUCGUCACUCUUGGACUUAGGGUUCAAAAUAUGAUAAAAUGAAGCAAAACCUCGAGUUACAUAGAUAAAAUCAAGCUGUAGAUGGAUCGCAUAAUUUCGAACCCUCGCCAAAACGAAGACAGCUUUCACAAUUGUGAAUAAAGAAGGGCUGGAAAAGGUUGAAUUUGCGACAAAAAGUUCACAAUUGAGAACUAGGCAUCACAAUUGCGAUGAAUAUGUUCGCAAUUGCGACCAUACCAUAAGCACCAAUUUUUUCCGACACAAAAAUGAGCAUAACUUCCUCAUACGAUGUCCAAGAUCGAUGAUUCUUCUUAUUAUGUCUCCUAAUUACGAUGCAUAUCUAAUGAUUCAAUAAAAGCUGAAUUUGGAUCUCAUUUGCUUAAUAUGGUACCCCUUUAUUGCUAAAAACGAUGUUGAAAUAUCAAAUAAGAGCACAAUACAACCCGAAAUACACCCGAGGCCCCGAGACCCCGUCUAAUCACACCAACCGACUCCAUAACAUAAAAUGGACCUACUCAAGGACUCAAAUCAUACCAAAUAAUGCUAAAAUCAAUAAUCAGCCUCCAAUUCAAACUUUUUGAACUUUAGAACUUCAAACUUCUACUUUUGAUGCCGAACCCUAUCAAAUCAUAUUCGGUUGACUUCAAAGUUUGCGCACAAGUGAUAUUUGACAUUACGGACCUACUCCAACUUCCGGAAUCAAAAUCCGAUUCCGAUAUAAAAAAAGUCCACUUUCGAUCAAACUUCUCCAUAAACCUUCAUUUUUCUAUCUUUAUCCAAAUGGCUCCAAAAUGACCUUUGGACCUCCUAAUUUACUUCUGAUUGCGCUUCCAACUCCAGAAUCACCAUACGGAGCUACUCCCAGACUAGAAAUCCCAAAUGCACAUUGAUAUCAUUGAAAUGCACUUCAAGCCAAACUUAUAAAAUUCCGUCCAAAAUGCUAACUUCCAUAAUAAGCGCCAAAAUGCUCUCGAAUUAUCCAAAACCUGGACAAGGCAUACGCCCAAGUCCGAAAUCAUCUUACGAACCUGCUGAAACCCUCAGAUUCCGAUUUCGAGGUCAUUUAUUCUAAUAUCCAAUCUUAGUUAAUUCAUUCAAUAAAAGCUUCCGAAAUGAGAAUUCUCUUUCUAAAUCAACCCUGAACUUCAAGAAAUUCAAUUCCGAUCAUGUGUACAAGUCAUAACACCUGAAAUGAAGUUUCUCAUAGCCUCAAACUACUGAACGAUGCGGUAGGGUUCAAAAUGACCUGUCGGGUUUACAACAUCAUUUGGUGGUAUCUUUUAACUAACUUAAUAUAGUGUAAAAUUUUUGUAUUUACCGUCAAUACCUAACAGUUGUACAUAUUUUAAUAUCACUUCAUUAUGUUACGCUGAAGUAGUCAAUGUCUUUUUUCGAAUUUACUUUUCUAAUUUUUGAUGUUUUCUUUUGCUUAAAAAUUAAAUGAAAUUAAUCUUAAAGGAGAUAGUUUUUUUGUUAUAUAUAUAUACAUAUAUAUAUAUAUACAUAUAUAUAUAUAUAUACAUAUAUAUAUAUAGUGUCAGUUUACAAAAAUAACCUUAAAAUAUUAAGUAUAUUAACUCAUAAUAAAAGGACAACAUCGGAAUUCUAGAUAUUAGCCUUACAAUCCUAUAUCAGAAUUCAGAUUUCUUACCCUCGAGAAUCAUGAUAGCGCCUGCUCGUAAAAGCUAGGCAAGCUACAAAAUAUAGAAAUUCUAACUCUUUCAUAUUAAUCCUUUUUGACAACUUGAAUUAACAUGUAAUCAACAUUUUAAAAUUAAUGAUAAACAGAAAUAAGCGAAAGACUUAAACAGCUGAAAAUAACCAAACCAGUACUACAAUACCAAUGUAAUCCUCUACCCUGAAUUUGGUGUCACAAUAUUCACGGAUAGACUAAGAUUACUACAAUAAAUGUCUGAAAGAAAUACAACAUAUCGCGAAAUAUAAUGAAAAUAGAGUACAUAGUGAAAUAGAAGAGAACGUAGUUCUGCGGACGCCUGCAAGACUACCGCGAGAUCUCUGGAUGGACUGAAGGUUGGCUCCCCAAGUGCUACUACCCAAAUGGUGCUUCGAUAUCUGCACAUAGUGCAGAGUGUAGUAUCAGCACAACAAACCCCAUAUGCUGGUAAGUGCUUGGCUUAACCUCGGCGAGGUAGUGACGAGGUUAGGACCAGAUUCCAGAAAAACCUGUGAAGUUAUAUAAUAUACAUCGGAUAAUAACAAAAAUAAACAAUUUAAAUGGGAAAAGGUACAUGCUACGAGGAAAAUGUCAAAUCCAGCAGGAACUUAAGAGAAAUAUGAGAGAACAAUUCAAAAUCUACAAUCAAACAAUAAUAAUACUGUUGUGGCGUGCAACCGAUCCCUUAUCAUUUAUCCCGAUCUAUUUAUAUCACUAUUGCGGCAUGUAACCCAUUCCAAUAUACAUUAUUGUGACAAGCAACUCGGUCCAUAUUUAAUAUUGUUGCGGUGUGUAACCCGAUCCAUGUUUAGUAUUAUUGCGGCAUGCAACCCGAUCCAUAUUUAGUGUUAUUGUGGCGUGCAACCCGAUCCAUAUAUUUAUAUAACUUUAACAACAACCAUACCAAAAGUACCGGCAAGGGAUCAACAAUAAACAACACUAUCCAUGCAUGGGAUUCGACAAUAAAAGUAAAUACGUCCCGGCAACGAAGAAUCAGCUAUAACAAAUCUUAAUUAAACUGCUACUCAUCUCAACUAACACCAAUACUCAAUCAUAAGUAAUUUCCACAAAAACAAACUUAAUCCUUCCUCAAUAUGUAGAAUCAUAAAAUUAAAGCAUCACGGUCAUGCUCGACACCAUUGCAUAAAUACUCAUCACCAUGCCUAUACAUCAUACUUAACAAGAAGCAAAUAGCAAAUAGGGCAAAACUCCUAAUCCCUCAAGCUACGAUUAGACCGAACACUUACCUCGAACUUCCAUUGCCAACUCAAGCCUCAAACAUCGCUUUCCAUUUCAAAUUUGGCUCCAACUCAAUCGUAUCUAUACAUAAUCGAUUUAAUAACAUCAAUAAAUGCUAAACAAUCUAAUUCCUAUACUUUAUAAUAGCCUUCUAAUCAUUCUUCCCAAAGAGUCAAAAUUUGGCCCUAGGUCUGUUUGGUCAAAACAAGAUGUUUGGACCAAAAUCCAAUCACCCUUUCACUCAUGAGUCCGAAUAUAUAAUUUAUUUUGAAAUACGACCUGAAAAUUAUGUUAAAUUCCUAAAUAAUCAAAAAGCCCUAACUCUACCCAAAUCCCUAAUUUUCUACCCUUAAUUCCGUAUUUUAGGCCUAGAAAUCUAGUGGGUGUUGAUAAAACUGGAAGAAAACAAGUCAACGAUUACUUACCCAAGAGGUUAUGGUAAAGACGUUCUUCAAAAAUCGCCCAAGAGGUGUGGAGAAGAUUAUGUUUGUGAAAAUGGUGAAAAUCUCGCAUUGCAUUCUGUUUUUGAAACUUAAAAUAGCAGGGCGAAAUUGGUCAUCGCAUUCGCGAUAGGCUCAUCGUGUUCGCAAUGAGUCAGCCUGGGAGACCAUCAUGUUCACAUAAGCAGGCUCGCUUUUGUGGAGAAGUUACUCCUUGAGACUUCGUGUUCGCAUCCAGGUGGUCACGUUUGUAGGUGUAAUGUCCCUCCCUCUGCCAGUCUCACAAGCCAUCGCUUUCGUAUGUGUUGUAUCGCAUUCGCGAAGGGUGUCCCCCCUAGCUUCGCGUUUGCGAAGAAGAAGUUUGGAACAUCGGAGAUUUGCCUUAUGCGUUUGCGAGUGGACCCAGGUGAACGCGAAGAACAAAAUCCCUGGGCAAUGAACAGCAAAAACCUGCAAUUUUUCAUAAGUCCAAAACCUUUCGAAACACAUCCAAAACACACCUGGGCCCUCGGGCUCCGAGCUAAACGUACGUACUAACAUAAAAACACCAUAUGAACUUAUACGUGCGAUCAAAUCACAAAAUUAACCUCUUAAACAAUGAAUUAAACCUCAAAAUUAAUAAAAUAUUUCAAAAGGUCUUACAAAAUUAAAUUUGCAAUAAAGGUCCGAAUCACAUCAAUGGAUUCCGUUUCUUACCAAACUUCACAGAAUUAUCUCAAACCAUAUAAAAGACAUGUACCGGGUGUUGAAACCAAAAUAGGGGCUCGAUACCAACAUGUUUUGAUAAAAUACAUUUCCAAAUCCUUUACACAAUUAGAAAAUAAUUUUCUUUAAAAAAUUCAUUUCUCUUGCUUGGGACCUCGGAAAUUGAUUCCGUGCAUACGCCCAAGUCCCAUGUUUUCUUACAGACCGUCUAGGACUGUCACACUACGGGUCCGGAUACGUUUAUCCAAAAUGUUGAUCGAAGUCAAAUUAAUUCAUUUUAUAGUCAAAACUUAUCAUUUUUAACCUAUUUUUCUCAUUUAAGCUUUUCGGAUAUGCGCACGUACUGCACACGUAAUCGAGGUGAUACUAAAAGAGGCUUUUAAGGCCUCGGAACAUAGAAUUCAAUUUUAAAAAAAGUGACGACCUUUUGAGUCAUCAUAUUUUCCACCUCUAAAAUAGUUGUUCGUCCUCGUACGGACAUAAGAAGGAAGCACCUUAGUCGGGGAAAGGAUGGGGAUAACGGCUCCGCAUAUAGAACUCGGACUCCCAGGUUGAUGCCUCAGGAGGCUGACCACUCCACUGAACACGAACAUAAGGAAAGCUUUUCGAUCUCAACUGAUGAACCUGUUGGCCUAGAAUGGCUACCGACUCCUCCUCAUAGACAAGUCUUUGUCCAACUAGACAGUGCUGAAAUCUAAUACGUGGGAUGGAUCGCCUUGAUAUUUUCGAAUCAUGGACACAUGAAACACUGGAUGCACAGCUGAUAAGCUCGGCGACAAUGCAAGUCUAUAAGUCACCUCUCCCCCUCGAUCAAGAAUCUCAAACGGACCAAUGAACCUAUGGCUAAGCUUUCCCUUCCUCCCAAAUCUCAUCACGCCUUUCAUAGGCGACACUCGAAGCAAUACCCGCUCACCGAACAUGAAAGAAAAAUCUCGAACCUUGCAAUCAGCAUAACUCUUUUUCCUGGACUGAGCUAUACGAAGUCUAUCCUGAAUGAUCCUAACCUUGUCCAAGGCACCCUGAAACCAUAUCCGUACCCAAUAACCGAGCCUCUCCCAAAUCAAACCAUCCAACCGAAGACCGACAUCGCCUAUCAUAUAAAGCCUCAUAAGGAUCCAUCUGGAUACUCGACUGGCAGCUGUUGUAGGCAAACUCUGCAAAAGGCAAGAACUGAUCCUACGACCUCCAAAGUCAUUGACACAAACUCGGAGCAUAUCCUCCAAAAUAUGAAUAGUACGCUCAGACUUCCGGGAUGAAACGAUGUGCUCAACUUAAUCCGCAUGCCCAACUCUUGCUAAACUACCUUCCAUAAUCGUGAGGUAAACUGCGUACCUCGGUCCGAUAUGAUAGACAGGGGUAGACCAUGAAGGCAAACAAUCUCUCGGAUAUAGACCUCAGCUAACCUCUUAGAAGAAUAAGAGACUCCCACAGGAAUGAAAUGCGCUAACUUGGUCAGCCUGUCAACAAUGACCCAUACCGCGUUGAACUUCCUCGUGGGAGUCCAACAACGAAAUCCAUAGUGAUUUGCUCCCGCUUCCAGUCGGGAAGCUCAAUCCUCUAAAAUAAAUCACAAGGCCUCUGAUGCUCGUACUUAUAAAUCCAUAUCUUUCUUCAUUAUCUGCCACCAAUAAUGCUGCCGCAAAUCCUAAUAUAUCUUUGCGGUGCUCGGAUGAAUAAAGUACCGAGAUGUAUGGGCCUCCUCUAAUAUAAACAUUCAGAUUCCAUCCACAUUAGGCACACAAACUCGACCCUGCAAUCUCAAAACUCCAUUAUCACCUAAGAUAACUUGCUUGGCACCUCCGUGUUGCACCGUGUCUCUAAGGACACACAAAUGGGUCAUCAUACUGGAAAUCUCAGAUAUGCUCCAAUAAUAAGAAACGAGCUACUGUACAAGCUAACAUACAACUAGGCUGAGAAAUGUCCAACCUCACAAGCUGAUUGGCCAAAGCCUGAACAUCCAAGGCAAGCGGUCUCUCACCGAUCGAAAUAUAAGCGAGGCUGCCUAUACUGGCUAACUUCCUACUCAAAGCAUCAGCCACCAUAUUGGCCUUUCCCAGAUGAUAUAAGAUGGUGAUAUCAUAGUCUUUCAAAAACUCCACCCACCUCGUCUGCCUCAAAUUAAACUCCUUUUGCUUGAACAAAUACUGAAGACCAUUGUGAUUCGUGAACACCUCCAAUGCCACGCCAUACAAAUAGUUCCUCCAAAUCGUCAAUGCGUGAACAAUGGUUGCCAACUCCAAAUCAUGAACCGGAUAUUUCUUCUCAUGAAUAUUUAACUGUCACAAAGCAUGGGCAAUGACCUUGUCAUCCUACAUCAAGACAGAGCCAAGCCUAAUACGAGAUGCAUUUUAAUAAACUGUAUAAGGCCUUCAACCUGUGGGCAAAACCAACACCAGUGCCAUAGUCAAAGCAAUCUUGAGCUUCUGAAAGCUCGCCUCACACGCAUCCGACCAUCUAAACUAGGUAUCCUUCUGGGUUAACCUGGUCAUCGGGGCUUCAAUAGAUGAAAACCCCUCUAUGAACCAAUGAUAGUAGCCUGCCAAUCCCAAGAAACUCCGAAUCUCUGUAGCUGAUUCUAGUGUAGGCCAGUUCUUGACUACCUCAAUCUACUUCGGAUCAACCUGAAUAACCUCUGCUGAUACAAUGUGACCUACGAAUGCAAUUGAACUCAACCAGAACUCACACCUUGAAAACUUAGCAUAUAACUAACUAUCCUUCAGAGUCUGAAGAACCACUCUGAGAUGCUGCACGUGCUCCUCCCGGCUGUGGAAACAUAUAAAAAUAUCAUCAAUGAAUACUAUCACAAAUGGGUCCAAAUAUGGCUCGAACACUUGAUUCAUUAAAUCCAUAAAAGUUAUUGUGGAAUUUGUCAACCCAAAUGAAAAAGCUGUCUUAGGGACAUUGGUUGCCCUAAUUCUCAACCGAUGAUAGCCAGAUCUCAAGUCUAUCUUUGAAAAUACCUUAGCACCCCGAAGCUGAUCGAACAAAUCAUCAAUCCUCGACAGCAGAUACUUAUUCUUGAUUGUAAUCUUGUUCAAUUACCAUUAAUCAAUAUACAUUCUCAUCGACCCAUCCUUCUUCUUAACAAACAACACUGGUGCACCCUAAUGUGAAACACUGGGUCUCAUGAAAACCUUCUCAAGCAAGUCUUGCAACUUCUCCUUCAACUCUUUUAACUCAAGUUAGGCCAUACGAUAUAGCGAGAUAGAAAUGUGCUAAGUGCUUGGAGCCAAAUCAAUCCAAAAAUCAAUAUCCCUAUCAGGUGGCAUACCCGGCAGGUCUGAAGGAAAUACCUUAGGAAACUCUCAAACAACGGGCACAAAAUCAAUAGAAGGGACCUUAGCAUAAGAAUCGUGAACAUAGGCUAAAUAGGCCAAACACCCCUUCUCGACCAUACGUCGAGCCUUCACAUAAGAUAUAACACUGCAGGUAGAAUGGCUAGGAAUCACUGUCCAUUCUAAACGAGGUAAACCCAGUAAGGCUAAGGUCACAGUCUUGGCAUAACAGUCCAAGAUAGCGUGGUAAGGUGAUAACUAGUCCAUCCCCAAUAUGAAAUUGAAAUCAACCAUGUCCAGAAGCAACAAAUCUACACAAGUAUGAAGACCCCCAAUCAUGACUAUACAGCGAUGGACUCGAUCUACCAUAAUAGAAUCACCCACCGGUGUAGUCACAUGCAUAUGAGCACUCAAAGAAUCACUAGGCAUGACCAGAUACGAUGCAAAAUAAGAUGACAUAUACGAGUAUGUAGACCCUGGAUCAAAAACAUUGAAGCAUCUCUAUCACAAACUAGAACAGUACUUGUGAUAACUGCAUCGGAAGUCUCAGCCUCAGGCCUGGCUGGAAGAGCAUAACAUCGGGGUUGUGCCCCACUACCUUGGAUUACCUCUCUGGGAUGGCCUACAACUGGCUGGCCUCCACCUACAGCGGUCUGAACUCUACCUCGAGCACCUCUACCUCCACCUCUAGCACCUCUACACCUCUACACCCACCUCUAGCUGGCUGGGUGGCUUAUGAACACAUGGUGCAUGAACCAUAACACACCCUGCUACUGCAACUGAGUACCUACCAAUCUUAGACAAGCCCUCCUUACAUGACCAUACUCACAUCACUCAUAGCAUCCACCCAAGUGUUGCGAGUGAGGAAAUUGAGAUUGACCCUAGCGACCUAAAUGACCACCCCGAAAACUCUGGAGCGGCGGUGCACUGAUAGGAGAUAGUGGUGCACUGUAGGGCUGCUGCUGAGAAUACUGCACGUGAGAACCACGGCCACCUAAAGCACCGUGAGAAGCAUGAAGUGCUGACCAAAAUGGCCAAGGAGGAUAGCCUAUACCAUACAAAUCCCUGCCUCCAGAUGAGGCACCACUGAAUCUGACUGAAUGACGUGGUCUCUUGUUUUUUCCAUGACCACCCCCUAUGAUAGAACCAUAUCAACUCUCCAAGCCAUGAUGGCCGCCUCCUAGAAAGAUAUUUCACUCCCAGUCUCUCUAGCCAUCUAAAGAUGAAUCGACUGAAUAUGUCCAUCAAUGAACCUCCUCACCUUCUCCCUCUCUGUGGGAAGUAUGAUAAGAGCAUGGCGAGCCAAAUCGAUGAAUCUGGUCUCAUACUGGGUGACAAUCAUUGAACCCUGCUAGAGAUUCUCAAACUUCCUCCGAUAGGCCUCUCUUUGUAUAGUAGAGAGAAACUUCUCAAAACAUAGCUGCGUGAACUGCUCCCAGUUCAAGGCUGGUGAUCCGGCUAGUCUAACCAAGCAACAAUCUCUCAACCAAGUCUUGGUAGAUCCAGACAAGCAAAAAGUGGCAAAAUCGACCCCGUUGGUCUCAACUAACCCAUGUUUCUAAGAACCUCCUGACAAUUGUCUAGAUAACCCUAAGGAAACUUAGUAGAUGCACUUCUGAAAGUAGUAGUGAAGAGCUUGGUGAACCUGUCCAAUCUCCACAAAGUAUCGGCAAACAUAGCUACUCCAUCACCUGUCAGAAUUACCAUACCCUGCUGAAUUAAUCGAACUAGCCGAGCUGUUGGAGUCUAAAACUAGGGAGCUACCUACUCCAAAGAGCGAGUAGCAAGAGUCUGGGCUCCUCCUACAUCCUGAGAGAUGCCUGGUGCUACAGGAAGCAAACCUAUCCGGGUGGCACUAUCCAUAAGGCCCACUAGUCAGACUAGAGCAUCCUGAAGAAUUGGGGUAGAAAUAAACCCCUUUGGGACUUGAGUUGGGCCCACCGGAAUCGCUGGGGUCAGAACCUCAUAAUCAAAAUCAACCUGAGGCUCUGCCAGUGAUACUGCUACUCUGGGUUGAGCUCUGCCCUUACCUCGGCCUCUAGCACGGCCUCAGCCAUACCCUCUGCCCCUUGUUGGAGCUGCUGCUAGGGGCUCAGGCUAUUGAGAGGUGGAUGAGGAAGCGCAUGUUCUCGCCAUCUGUGAAAGAACGAAGUAGAACUUCAAUUAGCAUUGAGAAAACAAAUCGCACGACAAGAAAGAACAAAUGUGACAUUUUUCCUAACUCUGUAGCAUCUGGGGAUAAAUACAAAAGUCUCUGUACUGAUCCCGCAAACUCUACUAAGCUUGUUCCUAAAUUGUGAGACUCAUGUAGCCUAGAGCUCUGAUACCAACUUGUCUCGGCCCAGAUUUAUCAUCCUCUGAAGUCGUGAUGGCGCAUACUCGUAGAACCUAGUCAAGCCACAAAAUAUAGAAACUCUAACUCUUUCAUUUUUAUCCUUCUUAAAAAUUUGAAUUAACAUGUAAUCAACAUUUUAAAAUUAACGAUAAACUAAAAUAAGCGAAAGACAACAGCUGAAAAUAACGAAGCCAAUACUACAAUACCAAUGUACUCCUCUACACGGAAUUUGUUGUCACAAUAUACACAGACGGACUAAGAUUACUUCAACAAAUGUCUUAAAGAAAUACAAUCUGUCUCAAAAUCUAAUAAAAAUAGUGUACAUAAUUAAUAGAAGAGAACAUCGGGCAUGAGGACACCUGCAGGACUACCUUUGGAUCUUUGGAUGGACUGAAGACUAGCUCCCCGAGUGCUACUGUCCAAAUGCUGCUCCGAUAUCUGCACAUAGUGCAGAGUGUAGUAUCAACACAACUGACCCUAUGUACUGAUAAGUGCCUGGUCUAACCCCGAUGAGGUAGUGGCAAGGCUAGGACCAAACUCCAGAUAAACUUGUGCAGCUAUAUAAUAUACAGCGUAAUAAUAAGAAUAAACAAUUUAAAUGGGAGGGGUUGCAUGCUACGGGGAAAAUGUCAAAUACAGCAGGAACUUAAGAGAAAUACGAGAGAGCAAUUCAAAAUCCACAACCAAACAAUAAUAAUACUGUUGCAGCGCGCAACCCAAUCCCUUAUAUUUUAUCACUAUUACGCCGUGCAACUCGAUCUAUUUAUAUCACUGGUGCAGCGUGCAACCCAUUCCAAUAUAACAUUAUUGCAGCAUGCAACCCGAUCCAUAUUUUGUAUUGUUACAACGUGCAACUCGAUCCAUUUUUAGUGUUAUAAUGGCGUGCAGCCCAAUCCAUAUAUUUAUAUACCAUUAACAACAACCAUAUCAAGAGUACUAGAAAGGGAUUAAAAAUAAACAAUAUUAUCCCAGCAAGGGAUUCGACAGUAAAAGUAAAUACGUCCCGGGAAGGGAGAAUUAGCUAUAACAAUUCUUAAUUCAAAUUCUACUCAUCUGAGAUAACACCAAUACUCAAUCAUAAGUAAUUUCCACAAAAACAAACUUAAUCCUUGCUCAAUAUCGAGAAUAAUCAAUUAAAGCAUCUGUAUUAUCAUUUAAGAACACAACAAAUCGCAAUUUAAGACACACGGUCAUGCUCUGCACCAACGUAUAGAUACUUGUCACCAUUUCUGUACGUCGUACUCAAUAAGAAGCAAAUAGAAAAUAGGGUAUAACUCAUAAUCCCUCAAGCUAAGGUUAGACCGAACACUUAUGUUGAACUUACAUGGUAAACUCAAGCCUCACACACCACUUUCCCUUUUGAAUUUGGCUCCAAUUCAAUCGUAUCUAUACAUAAUCAACUUAAUAACAUCAAUAAAUGAUAAAAUAUCCGAUUCCAAUACUUAAUUAUAUCUUUCUUAUCAUUCUUCCCAAAAAGAUAAAAAUUGACCCCGGGCCCGCAUGAUCAAAAUGCGAGGUUCUGUCCUUUCAUCCACGAGCCCGAAUAUAUAAUUUGUUUUAAAAUUCGACCUCAAAAGGAGGUCAAAUUCUCAAAUAAUCAAAAAGCCCUAACGCUACCUAAAUCCCUAAUUUUUUACCCGUAAUUCCACGUUUUAGGCCUAGAAAUCUAGUGGGUGUUGAUAAAAAUGGAAGAAAACAUGUCAAAGAUUACUUACCCAAGAGGUUAUAAUAAAGAAGUUCUUCAAAAAUCGCCCAAGAGGUGUGGAGAAGAUGAAGUUUGUGAAAAAUGGUGAAAAUCCCGCAUUGCAUUCCGUUUUUGAAAUUUAAAUUAACAAAAUUGGUCAUCGCAUUCGCGAUGAGUCAGGCCUGGGAGACUGUCGCGUUCGCAUAAGUGGGCUCGCGUUCACAGAUAAGUAACUCUUCGAGCCUUCGCAUUCACGUCUAGGUGGUCGCAUUUGCAUAGGUUUAAUGUCGUUCCCCCUGUCAGGCUCACAAGCCAUUGCGUUCGCGUAUGAUGUGUCGCAUUCGCGAAGGGUACCCCCCCUAGCUUCGCGUUCGCAUUUCCAGCUUCAUAUUUGCGAAGAAAAAGUUUGGCACCCGGGAUAUUUUCCUAACGCAUUUGCGAAUGGACCCACGCGAAUGCGAAGAACAAAAUUCCUGUCACUGAAGAGCAAAAACCUGUAAUUUUAAAUCCAAAACCUUCCGAAACACAUUCAAAAGACAUCCGAGCCCUUGGGGCUCCAAACCAAACAUACGUACUGGCUCAAAAACACCAUAUGAACUUAUACGUGUGAUCAAAUCACCAAAUUAACCCCUUAAUUGGACAAGAAUAAUGAGCAGUGUUCAUAUUGCUAUGAAUAAGUAUAUAUAUAUAUGNNNNNNNNNNNNNNNNNNNNNNNNNNNNNNNNNNNNNNNNNNNNNNNNNNNNNNNNNNNNNNNNNNNNNNNNNNNNNNNNNNNNNNNNNNNNNNNNNNNNNNNNNNNNNNNNNNNNNNNNNNNNNNNNNNNNNNNNNNNNNNNNNNNNNNNNNNNNNNNNNNNNNNNNNNNNNNNNNNNNNNNNNNNNNNNNNNNNNNNNNNNNNNNNNNNNNNNNNNNNNNNNNNNNNNNNNNNNNNNNNNNNNNNNNNNNNNNNNNNNNNNNNNNNNNNNNNNNNNNNNNNNNNNNNNNNNNNNNNNNNNNNNNNNNNNNNNNNNNNNNNNNNNNNNNNNNNNNNNNNNNNNNNNNNNNNNNNNNNNNNNNNNNNNNNNNNNNNNNNNNNNNNNNNNNNNNNNNNNNNNNNNNNNNNNNNNNNNNNNNNNNNNNNNNNNNNNNNNNNNNNNNNNNNNNNNNNNNNNNNNNNNNNNNNNNNNNNNNNNNNNNNNNNNNNNNNNNNNNNNNNNNNNNNNNNNNNNNNNNNUAUAUAUAUAUAAAAGCACAUGUGUGAGAGAGAGAUGGUUGAUAAGAUUCUGUACCAUUAAUAUUUCUACCUCAUAAAGAUCCAAAAUUAGAAUUUCAAAUUGAUAUUUAGUAGCUAAAAUUAUAAUUACGACUAAAUAUUCAUAUGAGCUAAUAUUAAGAUCAAAUAAUUAAAUCUUUCAAUUAUCUAUUUUGGAAGCAUCUAAUUCUGUUGUUUUUAAAUUCAUCAAAAUGUAAAAUAAUUUUCAAGCUUAUAAAACUCUUAUAAUACAUAAAUUUAUUAUAUAAGAAGUUCAUUGAAGGUGAAAUAAAAAAACAAAAAAACACAAAAAGUCGAUUGGGAUAGUAUUAAGGGUUAUAAAGCCAUACAAGUGCUUGGAAUUUUUUUAAUAAUUAAUAAAACUAAAUCCUAAACACGAGCUAGCUUUAAUGAUUAUAUUGCAAGAGACGACUAUUGCAAAACGGGAUUAUUCUUUGUAGAAAGUCUCAGACGAAUCGAAUCAAAUAUUCAUAUAUCGUGCAUUACUUGCAAAUAUUUGAUUAAGAACCAUUAGCAAUAGCAACAAAUGAUGUAGAGUAGCAAGAAUUUUAUCAUAAGGCUAUACAACUCACUUUAUAUUCCACAUAUCUCUUCAAGCUACUGAAAUAACCUUCACAAAUAUAUCAAAGCAGAAUAAUAGUAUUAAACUUAUAAGGAAAAUAGAGUUAAUAAUAUGGAAUAUAUGAAGCGUCCAUGACGAAGCGGCAUACAAUUAAAACAAUUGACAUGAGCUUCAGAUAUAUGGAUAUCAAAAAACUGUUUGGUUAUAAAGUAAUAAUUCUAGGAGGUGAUUUAAAUCAAAUAGUACAGUAAUUUCAAAAUCGAUAAGAACAACGACUAUAAAUACUAUCUUGAAAAAUUCAUACGUAUAGCCUCAAAUGGAAAACAAAUCAACCAACAAUAAAUGUAAGAGUAAGAACACUCAUUAUUCAGUAACUUUUCACUUCAUUUUGUCGUGAAGAUCGUUUAAUAAAAGUAAAUAGAUUAAAAUUAAAUAAAAAAAUAAUUUGUGCAAAUUAUACAAUAAAAAGAGCUAGCUUAGCUAGCAUAAAUAAGUAUAUCGAUCAACUGCAUAAUGUUGAUUUAUAUGUUAAUUGAUUAAAGCGAAAUACUUUCUAAUUUUGCCUCAAUAAAAGAUGAUACUAACAACUAUUAUGAGAAAGAAUAUUUGAUAAUUUAGCAUCAAAUAGAAUUCUACCACACAAAUACGGUACCAAAUUUAUUAUUUCUCAUGUAUAUUAAUAUCGUGUAUGGACAAAAUUAUAGUUGAUCUUCCAUUUUAUAUUAGUUACUUUUGAAGAAAAUUAUACUCUUCAUAUUAUUAAGAAACAUAUAUUUAUUAAUGACUUAUGUAAUGGUACAAGAAUGGUAAAUAUGGAUUUUGAUAACUUUAUACAUAUAGAAAUCUUGAUGGGUCAAUGUGUUUUCAAGAACGUAUUUAACCCUAUAAUUCAAUUUUCCCUCUUACAAAUAUGAAGAAUAUCUUUUUAAAUUUGUUAGAAAACAUUUUUAUGUACGCUUGUAUUUUACAAAAUAAUAAAUAACACAAAGAAAAAACUAUCUCUAAUGUUGGACAAUAUUUACCCAAUAUACUUUCUCGCACAUACAACUAUAUGUCAUAUUUUCAAGAGCGAUAUCACCAUCGAUAAUAAGUGUUAUAAUCAUGACAGAGUAACCAACGCAUUAGAAGAUAAUAUAGACAAAAUAUUGUCUAUAAAAAAGUUUUAGAUUAGAUAUCAUCACAAUGUAUAUUUCUAAAUUAUAAGUAUAUAAUAAUAUUAUCUAACAUGACUAAUUGAUCAGUUUUGCAGGUUCAUGUGUUAUCAUUAUGAAUUCGCACAUUAUACUAAUAUAAUAAUAUUUUUUUGCAUUUUAAAUAACAUUGAAUUUUAUACAUUAUAUUUGUUAUGCCUUCAUAUAAUUGCUUGAUUAAACCAUUAUAUAUAUAUAUACACACACACUUCAAAAAUACGAGUAACAAUUAAAAUUGUUUAUGGUUUUAAAGAUAUGUGAUUUAGUACAAUACUAAUUAAUAACCAAGCAAUAUAACAUAUAAAUGAGACAAUUAAGUAAUAUCAAACCAGUAUGCUAGCCAGUCUCGACCUCGAGCUAAGGUGGCCUCGAAGUUGGUUAAGAAAUAAAUUUAAAGACAAUUUUGAUGAGUAAUGAGCAAGAAAGUGAGAGAGUAUAUUCUUUUGCCACUGAUUGAUGAUGGUUACAAAUGAUUGUGUCCCCUCUAUUUACAGUAAGAAAUCUUAUUGGGACAGUUGUCUAACCGCCUAGUAUGGAUUCGUACUAACUCAUACAAAUCUAUUCUAAAAUUUACGCCAUGAUCUUGGGGACGUGGAGGGAAUCUUGCUCUUUCUGUUACAUACUGUGAGCAUGUGAUUUUUCCCCUGCUAAGACGACUCCUGCAUGACUCUCAGGUUUCGAAUUUUCCUUUGAAUAUUUGUUUUAGGAUUUAAUUUUUGAAUUUAAUUGCGUGUGCCAGUGUAUUUUCAUUAGUGCAUGCUUAAAAUCAUUUAGGAUUUAAUUUCGUUUUUUUGAUAAAAUAACCGUUAAUUAGGGUUACUUUUACAAAUAUAAAAUUUAAAAUAUAUAAGUAGUAUUUCUGGCAUGUUAAUCGUUUUGUUUAAUUUUUAUUUAUUAUUUUUUGCAUAAAUAGAUAAUUAUUAGGUUAAUUAGUAAUUUUUAUAAUAGAAUUAGAAAUUAAAGCAAAUAAUAAUAAUAAUAAUAAUAAUAAUAAAGGAAAGAAAACAAAACAAAACAUUUACAUAUAUAUAACCACCCAGGCUGGCCACAAUUAGGCCAGACCUGGGUGUCCCAAAAUACUUUUGCCCUGUAAAUAACACCUUUGCCCAUCCAAAACACCAGCCCCGACCCACUCCACACACUACGCCCCAAAACGACACCGUUUCGGGGCAGGCCAUCCUAACCGUCCAUUACAAACCAUUCAAUGGCCCUAACGCUUCCCCUAAAGCAAAUAAAAGUGUCCAAAACAUACGUAUAACAUCAGAGACCACUGCUCUCCUCCUCGUACAGUUCAAAGCCUGAACAUCAUCACCACCUAUGAGCCAUCACAGAACCACUAUUCGCCGCCGGCCGAAAAUCGUCGGCAGCGGUGGAGUAGACCUAAUACCCUCAAAAUUUACACCAUAAAAGCGUCUCGCCCUCCUUUUUCCAUCCACAUAUGAAUCACACUUCAAAUCCUCACCAGUCUGCUCGAAUGUUCAAUCGAAGUGUGGUAGCUCUGCCGACUAUAGCGGCGGCCGGUGGCAAGCCGCCCUCAAACUAACACCAAUGAUUCCCCUCACCACCUCCACCCUCGCCUUACCAGUAUCCACCCUCGAAUAUUGCCCCAGAAUCUCGAAUAUUCAAUCUCGUGGACGUCGCCUCCGCCGCCCACGGCCGCCAGCUACAAAUAGUCUCAAGUUCACACCACUCCAUCUCCUUGACAUCCUCUUCCCAUUCCUACAAUUGACCAAACUCCAAUCAGGCCCCUGUUCUUCGAAACCCAAUUCAAAUUGGCUGGAAAAAAUUAUCCUUUCGCCCAAAUUCACCAAAAUGGGCACCAUGCACUCUCCUCGACCCCUCCGCCCUUUCUAAAACCUCUAUGAUCUUUUCUCGAGCCCCGUUCAAGUCGCUUGAAUUUUGGACCUGAAAGAGCAUAAAAACUGGAUUCAUGUAUAACCAAAGCAUAAUUUCAUUUGAGGUUCAAGUAAUUAAGAGUUCGAACCCCUUAAUCGGUGAGUUUUUCAUUAUACGUUCUCACUUUCAUUCAUCUUUCAUUUCUGAUGAAUUCAUGGAAAGUUAGUCCAUUACGAGUCAAGGCAAAUUAAAGUGAGUCUGCUUGAAUUUCGCUUUUGUUUGAUUAUAUGGUCACUAUCAUUAGCCUAUUUGUUUAUUAGCCAGUAUUUUAUUAGCUUGGUUAAGUUUGUUUUAAUUUAAUGAUCAAUUAGCCCCUCGUCUAUUAGUGUUUAAUCACGGGUCAGUUAAGCUUGCUGAAUUUGUGCCUCCCUUUUCACAUGUUUCAAUGGGUUUGAACUUAUGUCUCAUUGGCUUGAGUUUGAGCCCAUACUUACUGAAAACGUGAAGUUUGUUCAGGGAUUCAAAGCCCAUACCCGUUUGAUCCAGGCCUGCCUUUGGGGUAAGGACAAGGUUACUAAGGGCAACUCGGUUAAUAAAAACAUCCAGAAUCUUCUAAUAGAGGGUUAAAAUGAGGUAUUCAGAUUCUUAGGUAGAAAACUUGGUCCACAAGUUAAGAACAAAGAGAUCAAAAUUGCAAAAUUGGUUCAAGGUUUGAGUUCAAUAACCAUGGUCAUCUUCUGACCAUAGGGGAGGUUUGGUAUGUUGGUUUGAUCAUUUAGGAUAAGUGAAGGGGUAGUAUAGGUAUUUAGGCAAUGGAAUCUGGCAGAAAAUUCAUGGAACCUUCUAGUUAGGGGUCUAAAAUAAGACUUUCUGGUAAUUCACUAGAAAACUUGAGACACAAGCAAAAAAAGGGAGGACUGAUUGGGCAAUAAGAGAGAGACGUUGGAAUAAAAUACAAAAAAGGAUUGCCCUACUUAUUUCAGCUGUAAAAGGGACCUUUUCUUACUUAAUAGGGGGAUGGAAAAACCAGAGGGAAGAGAUAUACACAAUUAAUCAAAAUAGCUACUGUUCCAUUGUUUUUUUUUAUUACUGGUAUUUUCAAACUGAGGGAUAAUCUAUGGUUCAUUGAGGGUUUAGAGUGCAUUGCGAUUAGCUGUUUGUUCUUCUAGUUUAGACAUUGUUAUUUUGGUUUUCCUUGCUGAACCUUUUGUGUUAAAUUGAUGGGUCUGGGUUCACCUGGCUUGUCUCAUUGUUGAUUUCCGUUGCAAUUGCUGACUACUCACACACUCCUUUUCAUCAUUUGCAUUUUUUAUGUAUUUCUCUAGUCUAUGUGAACUGCACAGUUGAGCAAAAUUUUGAAGCAAUACAAGUUGUUCAAAUUUAAGCCAUCCUUUAUUUCAUUGCUGUUGUUUUACAUCGUGUAAUAAUAGUUGUUUAAGUUAAAAUGUAUGAAGUGUAAAUUACGUUCCUUUGCUGUUGAUGAUAGGAGGGAUGUAAUUUAAUUAUUAUGCUGGACUGGGACUUGUGUGUUAGUCCCGUUGCAGCCCUAGGCUGGUUCCUAUUGUUAUAUUUAAUUUGUUGUAAUUUAUAAGUUGAUGUUUUGCAUAUUGAGACUCGACAUUGGGUUGGGUUAAAAGGUACACUACAUCUCCUGAAGGUGCUUAUGUGAGGGCCAUGGUGUCCAAUUAUUUGGCCCUUUUCACGUACAGCCUCGCUCUAGUUGAAGUUUGAGGCUCAGCUUGCUUUUUUUUUUUCUUCUUCCUACUAUCGAUUUGCCAGCUUCAUUUUGAAUCUGCAAGUGGUAGCUAAUGUCUUAGCGGUGGGGAUUCUUAAGUCCCCCUUGUACACGAAUACUGGAAUAACAAAAAUAAAUAUAGGCUUAUAGAUUUACACUUUAAACUGGUAUCGACUGAAGCAUGAGUUGUUGGCCUGAUAUAAAGUCUAUUAUCCUUACUUUGGGCCCCAGUACCAUUUGGGCUCACAAAACGCAAGGGAACCUAGAUUUAGUCCUCAUAAGGUGACAAUAAACUAUUGGGCUUAUUGGGCUCAGGUUUGAAGGGGCCAUCACUUUAAUCUUCAGUUAUAAUAAUGAAAUACCUCUACAAUAGACUGAAAAAUGUUACUGAGCAAAUUUUUGAGGCUUUCAAAAAUUAAACGAAUAUUCAUUUUAAGCGCACUUUUAUAUAAUUCACUUUCCUAAAUACGGGUGCGCAUUUAUGUGACCCAAAUCUAAAUCUCAAUAGAACUAAUAUAUGUCUAAAGGCUCGACGCAUGAUAGCCUAAAUUCUCUCGGCGCAUGAUAGCAGGAUCGCCAUUGUUCCCGGAUAAAUGGCUUGUCGUCGGCGAAAUGCGACUCUCACUACAGUGCAAAUAGUUACCCCUGCUCAUGGUAUUACUAAGGAACUAGAACCACCGACGUUUGGUAAUUUUCUUCCCCAGAAAUUCCAAUCGACAGAGAUACUGCAUGCAGAUGGUGAAGCGAAUGAUUUACCACCUCCGAUUAACAAAAUUGAAGUGCCUACUAACCUCGCUGUGAGAUGAUUACAGUUCUCAGAUGCUAGUGGGUCUGAGAAAUCAAUUCCAACUGCUGCUGAGGUUGUGCAAGGUAACCGGAAUGCUCAAAUGGGUAAGCCACUCUCGUUUGCGCCUCCUACUAACAGAGAUGGUAAGAAGGUUGUUAAAAUUAGUGAAGAUGAUUUGAAAUCUCAUGUGGAUUACUGGAAUACUGCUUUAAUUGGCUACAUAAUUGGAGAUAAUCCAAAUGAGAAAACUAUGGAAAAUUUUGUGAUGCAUGUGUGGAAUUUUGUGUCUAAACCCCAGAUUCUGAUUCAUUCUGUAGGCUUUUGCAUUUUCCGAUUCAAUAGUAUAGAGGACAGAGAUCUAGUCAUUCAAUCUGGCCCUUAUUCAUAUAGGAAUAAUCCCAUGGUAUUGAAGCCUUGGGAAGUUGACUUCUCUUUCCAGAAAAGCUAUUGCAUUUUCCGAUUCAAUAGUAUAGAGGAAAGAGAUCUAGUCAUUCAAUCUGGACCUUACUCAUACAGGAAUAAACCCAUGGUAUUGAAGCCUUGGGAAGUUGACUUCUCUUUCCAGAAUGAUAUACCCUGUAUGGAUUCGAUUUCCUGGACUACCGAUGGGCUAUUGGUCUAUUGAAGUAUUGAGCAAAAUGGCUAGUGCAGUGGGUAAACCAUUGUACACAGAUAAAUUUACAGCUCACUGUGAGAAAAUUUCUUUUGCUCGAGUACUAGUGGAGGUUGAUGUUGCCCAUCCUCUCCCUGAUCAGAUAGAGAUUGAGACUCCAUUUGGCCCUAAGAUUCAGUUGAUUAAAUAUGAUUGGAAGCCUAGUUUCUGCAAUCACUGCCUGAAAUUUGGCCAUGAUUCUAUUGACUGUUGGUAUAAUGCAAUCAAUAAUGUAGAGCAGGUAUAAUGCAAACAAUGAUGUAGAGCAGGAUAUGGGGAACAGGGUAAGACAAGAAUUUUGAUUGUUGGUAUUAUGCUGAUAAUGAUGUAGAGAAGGAUAUGGGGGAACAGGGUAAGACAGGGAGGCAGAGGACCAGAUUGAAGAAGUAGGCAAAAGUUACUAAGCAAGAAUGGCUUGUCAAACAGCCUAUAGCUAAUGCAGAUACACAGGAAAGCUUGCCAGUGCAACCAGAACUUAACAAGGAGAAUGAGAAAACUUCUUCUAUGUCUAUUGUUCAACAGAAUGCACCACUAGGCCCUGACAUCCAGGAAAGGCGUGAGGCAGUAGUCAAUGAACCCAAUGGCAAUAGCGAAGUUAUGGUUGAUAACUGCAUUAAAGGAAAGGCUGUUAUUGUUGUAUUAGAUGUUGGUAGAAGGGGUCAACAGAUUGAUCCGGGGCCUUCUCAAAGCUUAUCCCCUAAUGUCCUAUGAUUAUUGUUACUUGGAACAUUAGGGGGCUUAAUCAAGCCCAUAAGCAGAAGGAGUUGAAAAACUUUCUUGCUGUAAAUAAAGUAGAUGUUAUGGGAUGUCUUGAGAGUAGAGUAACGGAGUACAAAGCAAAUAAGAUUCUAGAUAAGAUUGCUAAGGGUUGGAAGGUUCAAUGCAACUACUCAAAGGCUGUAAAUGGGAGAAUAUGGCUAAUUUGGAAACCUCACAUCCAGAUCCAAAUUUCAUGUGUGACUGACCAGCUCAUUCAAUGUUUCUUAGAAGACCCUAGAAGCCAAAUUAGAACUCAUGUCCGAAUUUCCUGUGUGACUAACCAGCUUAUUCAGUGUUUCUUAGAAGACCCUAAAAGCCAAAUCAGACCUCAUUUAAGUGUCAUCUAUGCUCAUAAUACUGCAAGCCUUAGAGAUCAGUUGUGGAGUGAUUUAUGGACAGUAUAUGUACCCAGUCAAGAUUCUUGGCUCUUGAAUGGGGAUUUUAACUCUUUCUUAUGUACUGAUGAUAGAAUUGGUUCUCCUGUUACUGAUGCUGAAGUUAGAGGUUUUAAAGAUGUCAUUGCUCACCUUCAACUCACUCCUCUUAGAGUUAAAGGUUGGCACUACACUUGGACUAAUAAGCAAGGUACUACCACUAGAGUUUAUAGCAAGAUUGAUUGGGCUCUGGGCAACUUCCAGUGGAUACAGCAGUAUGGGCACCUUGAAGCUGACUUCCUAAUUCCCUCAGUUUCUGAUCACUCCCCUAUUCUUAUAACUAGAGUUUAUAGAAAGAUUGAUUGGGCUUUGGGCAACUUCCAGUGGAUACAACAGUAUGGGCACCUAGAAGCUGACUUCAUGAAUCCCUCAGUUUCUGAUCACUCCCCUAUUCUUAUCAAAUUUGGAAAUCAAAAACUUCUGCAUCCUAAACCUUUCAGACUCUAUCUUGCUAUUAUGGAGAAUCCUCAGUUUCAUACCAUACUACAACAGGUCUGGGGAUAGGAAUGUGAAGGAACACCUAUGCAGCAGAUAUGGAAUAAAUUGAAGACCAUGAAACAACACUUAAAGGAGACAAAUGUCCAUAUAGCCUCAUACAAGCAGAAACUUAUUCAGGCUAGGGAGACACUGGGUAUUAUUCAGACUCAGCUGCAGCACAGUCCACUAGCACAGUCUUUAUUUGUUGAGGAAAAAAUAGCACUUGAAAAAAUUGAGAAGUGGAGUUGUGUGGAGGAACAAAUUUUGAGACAGAAAUCCAAGGCUUGUUGGAUUGAUUGUGGUGAUGCCAACACAAAAUAUUUCCAUACUCAGUGGAAGAUUAGAACAUGCCAGAAUAACAUUACAUCUGUCUACACUGAUACAGGUCUGAAACUCACUGACCCCUUAUCUGUGGAGAAUGAGUUUAUAAAGGUAUUACAAUCAUUGAUGGGAGAGUGUGCUGCUGAACUACCUUGUGUCAACUCUGCUGUUAUUAAAGAAGGACAGUGUCUAACUCUAUCACAUCAAAGAAUGCUAAUUCAGGAGGUUACAUUGGAAGAAAUUACAGAAAUACUAAAAGUGAUGCCAAAGGACAAAGCACCUGGUGUAGAUGGUUUUCCUAUGGAAUUCUUUACUAGAAACUGGGAGAUUGUAAAGGGAGAUAUUCUAGCUGCUACAAAGGACUUCUUCUCCACAUGCAAAAUGCCUCACCACCACUGCUAAAUGCACUUGUUCCCAAAUUCAAAGCACCUACAACUGUUAAAGACUAUAGACCUAUUGCCUGCUGUACCACUGUCUAUAAAAUCAUCUCCAAAGUUAUUACUAGGAGAAUCAAAACUGUUAUUGGUGAAUUAGUUGGGCAAGCUCAGUCAGCUUUUAUUGAAUCGAGAAGUAUUAUUGAUAAUAUUUUGCUUAGCCAUGAGAUCUUCAAGGGUUAUUCAAGAAAGGGAGUUUCCCCCAGAUGUGUCUUGACUGUGGAAUUGAGGAAGGCAUAUGACACCCUGGAAUGGAGCUUCCUCAAACAGAUCCUCAUUGACCUUGGAUUCCCUGCAAAAUUUAUUAACUGGAUAAUGGCUUGUGUCACCUCUGUUUCCUACUCCCUAGUAAUGAAUGGUUGAUUAACUAAGCCCUUCACUGCUAAGAGAGGUAUUAGACUGGGUGACCCUAUGUCACCUUAUUCGUUUGUGCUGGCUAUGGAGUACCUGAACAGGAUAUUGAAACAGUUGCACUAGAAUGGGGACUUCAACUUCCAUCCCAAAUGGAGGAAGCUCAAUUGUUCUCAUGUCUGUUUUGCUGAUAAUCUCCUUAUGUUCUGUCGAGCUGAUAUUGUUUCCAUCCAGAUCUUACAGAAGGCUUUCCUUAAGUUCUCUGAAGCUUCUGGACUACAAGCUAAUAUUAGCAAAAGUGCAGUAUACCUCGCUGGUGUGCAGCAGAGUGCCAAAGAAGAAAUCAUUGAGACUUUGGGAUUCACUGAGGGCCAGCUUCCAUUAACUUGGCUGGUGUGCAGCAGAGUGCCAGAGAAGAAAUUAUAGAGACAUUGGGGUUCACUGAGGGCCAGCUUCCAUUCAAAUACUUGGGGAUACCACUUGACUCUAAAAAACUGGCCAUCCAUCAUUACCUGCCUCUGAUAGGGAAAUUACUGAUAAAAUUACUUGUUGGUCAGCUAAGUUGCUUUCUUAUGCAGGGAGAUGCCAACUGAUCAAAGCUAUUAUUUUUGGUAUUCAGAGUUACUGGGCUCAAGUAUUCAUUCUGCCCAAAAAUGUAUUGAAAGCCAUUGAAGCAAUAUGCAGAACAUUUCUGUGGACUGGCACUGCUAAUAUGUCUAAAAGGGCUCUGGCUGCUUGGGAGAGGGUAUGCAGACCACUUUCAGCUGGAGGACUCAAAAUACUAGAUUUGACUGUGCGGAAUAAAGCAGCCAUUACUAAACUUUUAUGGGACCUGGCCAGGAAGAAAGACUGUCUUUGGGAUAAAUAAGUGCACUUCUACUACAUCAAACAGGGUGAUAUUGCAACAAUGACCAUUCCUAAGUCACCUUCUUGGUUUGCUAGGAAGAUACUGGAAAGCAGAACUGCUAUAAUGGAGAGCCAGAAGCUUCAGGGGGAUCUGUUUAGCAGGUUGAAAGGAGUAUGCAGACUGGAUAAAUUCAACAUUCAGAAACUUUACCUCACAAUGAUUCCCAGCUUCAAUAAGGUCGAAUGGAAGAAUCUGAUGCUAAUUACAAAUGUUCAACCUCGACACAAGUUCAGUGUAUGGCUAGCUGCCCAACACAGACUUCCUACAGUUGACAGACUGCAAAAUUAUGGCAUACAAGUCCCAGCAACUUGUGUGUUCUGCAAUCAGAAUGUUGAAGUGUUUAAUCAUCUGUUCUUUGAGUGCUCAAUUACUAGUAGACUGUUGUCCAGACACUGUUGCUGGCUGGGGCACGACAGAAUUGUUGGUAACUGGGAAACAGAAAUUCAAUGGAUUUGCAGUAAAUCAAGGAGCAGAAUGUGGCACAAUGCUAUUACAGCCUCUGUUUUUGUCAUUAUUGUUGCUCUUAUCUGGAGGGAGAGGAAUAGCAUUCGAUUUGAUGGGAAAGUAUUUAUGGAAGAACAGAUUUAUUACGGCCUCUGUUUUUGUCAUUACUGUUGCUAUUUUCUGGAGGGAGAGGAAUAACAUUCGAUUUGAUGGGAAAGUAUUUGUGGAAGAGAAGAUUUGCAGAGAAGUUGCUUUACUUAUUCAUAUCCGUGGCAGAAACUGCAGACGAUGGCAAAAUGGCUUGCGGCAACUUAAUUGUUUUCCUUAGUUAUAGCCUUUAGAUUUCCCUAUACUGUGGUGGCAUUUGUUUAUAGAUAGUUAUCUUAGUAUAUAUGAUUGACUGUAAAUGAGUAGCAGCUAGUCCAAGCUACUACUAUAGAGGUUUACAUUGUACAUUCCUUUGAUAUUAAUGAAAUAUAACAGUUAUACUAAAAAAAAUAUGUCUAAAAUCGCGUGCGCAUUUAUGUGACGUGAUUCAACAUGUAUUUUAAUAACAUUGCACAUCUCCUGAAAUCUACUGAAGCGGUUAAUAAUUUAAAACUGAAUCACAGGUCUGAACAUGUACAACAAAUCAGAUUUUUGCCACUUAUAGUAAGUUUAAGCGACCGUGCUAGAACCACGGGAUCCGAGGGUUCCUAACACCUUCCCUCGGAUCAACAGAAUUCCUUACUGAAGAAUUUCUGGUUCGCGGACUCCAAUUGGGCAGUCAAAAUAUUUCCUCGAUUUAGGAUCUUAAAUAAAUCGGUGACUUGGGACACCAAAAGCCAAACCUAUCCCAAGUGGCGACUCUAGAAUAAAUAAUGAAUCCCAUUUCGAAUAAUGUUACUUUAAUUGGAAAAACUCCCUUAUACGUGUCAUCCUUCGGGGUAGCCGUGUAAAAAAGAGGUGUGACAGCUCUGGCGACUCUACUGGGAUAAGUACCCAGAGUCUCUGGUUCAGGGUUCAAGAAUUCGAGCUUGGAAUAACUGUUAUAUUUGUCUUCUUCUGAUUUGUCUACAUGUUUCAUCCUAACGUGCUAAAUGCCACAUGCUUUACCGCUUUGAUUUUAUCUGAACUGUAUAUGUAAACUGAUACGAAAACCCUUCACCUAUCACCUCCGAGGAUGUGCUUACUAGUUGAGACUCCCUAUUUUGUUAGUGCCAUACCUGCAAAUAAGAAAGAGGCCGAACAGGUUACUAAGCCGGAUGGCCUUUUGGUUCCCGGUACGUAGCCCCCUCCUCGACUCGAGUUGUCCGCUCGGGUACACAAUCUGGACCCUGUACCGAGGUUCUGAACUUAGUAUAACGAAACCUCAUGCCGGAUCCCUAGUAGGAAUGUUUAUUUGCGUCAUGCUUUUGACUUAGGGGACUCAGCACUGGGGUUGGAUCCGUCUAGGACAGGUGCCCUGAAAUAAAAGACCAUCCUGAUGCAUUUUGCGUGCUAGUUGUGAAUUUAUUUGCCUUGGGUUCACAUGUUGACAGUUUGUGAACGAAAGAGAAUAAAUUGAGGAAAAUAGCAGUGUUGGGGUGAUCACUUGUAAAACCAAUGUUUAAAAUAGCGUCGAAAUGCUGCUGGAUGUUUUCCCAAAAAAUAAAGAAUUUCGGGUUUUUCAAUAAUAUUUGCGGGUUUUGAUAAAUUAUUUUGGCUGAUAAUAGCUUAAUGUUGCUACAAGAGAUGCCAGAAGGAGGAUUUUGCACAAAUUUCCACCUAUGAAUUUUAUUUUGACUGGUAAGCAAUCACAACCCUAAAAACCUUCUCUCCGAAGUUUUGGAAGGCCGUAUUUGCAAAGCCGAUCCUGGUUUUUAAAAUAAAUUUCAUAAAAUGUCAAUUUUAGUGUUUUGAGAUCAAUAAUUCACCUUUAAUAAAUGUGCAGAAUGAGCACAAUAAUGAACAAAAUUCCCUUGGAGUUGCGACUAUGGUGGAAUGAUCUCGGGGAAGAAGAAUAGAAAAAGGUUGACGCACAUCUGGGAGGCCUCACAGGUUUAUUGAAAAUUAACCCCAUGGGAGACAUCAUAAAGGCCUUAAUAACUUUCUGGGACCCGGCCCACAACAUUUUCCACUUCUCGUACUUUGAGCUAACUCGACUUUAGAAGAAAUGACUGAAUAUAUCAGGACCCAUACAAUCCCUUUGAGACAUCAAUACUUGAUCGCACCAAGAGCCCUCGCUGUGCAUAAAUUCUUGGACACCAUGAAAAUCAGCAGAGAAGUACACAAUCCCGACUUAUCGACUGGCUUUUUCACCUUGAAAUUUAUAUACCAAAUAUAUGGCCACAUUGGAGGAUUCUACAACCCUGAAAAUCUUAUUUGUAGCAAGGGUAAUCGGUUCAAGUGGGAGGAGCAUCAAUGUUUCGCGUUCAUGGUGUCUUUCUUGUGUCUUUUAGUAUUCCCGCGAAAGGAUGGCAACAUCGACUUACGGAUAGCAGGGGUCCUUAGCACUUUGAUGACCCAAACAAAGAGUACUCUUGCCCCAAUGGUCUUGUCUGACAUCUUCCAGGUCCUUAUCAUCUGUAAAGCGGGAGGAGAUUUCUUCGAGGGUUGUAACUUGCUACUACAAAUCAAGAUUAUUGAGCAUAUAUGUCACCGGCCUCGAUUCAUGAAUUACGGGUUGCCAACAAAGAGUUGCAUAAAAGAAUUUACCAACAGAGUUUAUGGGUUUAAAUUGCAAGAGGGUGUCGCAUAAUGGGUGGCGCAUCUCCGGGUCAUCACCGCAAAUCAAAUAGAAUGGACAUUCGGUUGGCUCUCUGUGGAUGAAAUUAUAUAUAUGCCUGCCACCGGACCUCAUUUCCUUUUGAUGGGCAUCUGAAUCAUCCAGGCCUUUGCGCCGUAUAGAGUACUCAGAUAAUUGGGUAGAUGCCAAAUGAUCCCUAGAGAUGAGGAUAUUAGCUGCCAUGUGGUUGAGAUAAGCCCGAAUGGUCAAUUCCCUGAAGCUAUUGUAUGCCAAAUCUAGAGUGAGUUCCAAUAUUUGACAGCCAAUACUCGAGUACGUGACGUAUCUAAGGGUGAGGUAGCACCCGGGUAGGUUGCCGGGUACAAGAGAGAUAUAGAGCCCGAGAGGCCAGCAAAGAGACCCCAUCUCCAGGAAUCUGCUGAGACAUCACAAGAGUAGUGGGAUUGGUUAGCAAAAGAAAAUGAAUACCAGGCUACUAUAGGAAGGCUGGAAAAGAAAAUUCAAGAAUUGCAAUUUGAAAAGAGCCUGCAAGCUACAGCUAGCAAGGGAGAAAAGAAGGUAUUGAUCAAAGAAAAUGAAGCUCUAUGAGCCCAGAUCCAGAAAAUGAUGGUAGCCACAGAAAAUCCUCCGAGGAGUGCAAAAGAUGAAAAGCUUAUAGAGAACCUGCGAUGAAAAGUAACUGAAUACGGUUUCAACCUAAAUAAGGCGGAGGGUGAACUGUCUUGAGCUCGGAAGCAAUUAAUUAAAAGUGCAGAAGAAAGAUCCCCCAUACUGGAGCAGUUAAAAGAGGGAAGUGGAAAUGAAAGCACUGGUUUAAAACAAAGGGUUGUCAUAGAUGAAAACAAAAUGGCCAAACAAGCCAGGGAUUUCAAAGCCGAGAGAGAGCAUUGCUACGCGGUAAUAGCGGGAUUGGAAAGAGAUUUGCGGCAGUUCCAAAAGCUGAAUCAAGCAGCUGAACAAACUUUAAAAGAACAGGCUGAGCAAAUAGGGCAUCUACUACAAGAAAAAGGGGUUAUCAGAGAAAAGGUGCGGGCAAUCGCAGAAUAUAUUACGACGAACUGCAAUCAUUGUGAGGACAUGACAAAACCUAUGUUUUUCGCCACUGCCAUGAUAUUUGUCCAUCAAGUGAUGGAAGAUCUCCACUAUCUCCAAGGAAGCUUAGCGCACAAACCUGUGGCAAGGCCGGACGAUGCCCUGCAAGCUCCAAAAGCAUUUAAAGUUUUAAUGUACUCAUAAACUUGUAUAUUUCUUGAAAGAAAAAAGAAGAAGUCAGUCUGUAUGUUUUGUUACUUACCUUUCGAGUCUGUAAAUUUAUUAAGACCUAGUUUGGUAGUUGCCUUUCAUUUCGCUAGCGUAUGUAAUCAAAGUUUAUGUCUUUAUAAAAAUUGAAAAUCACAAAAACAUUUUGUUGUGUACACAAUAUUUGUUCAGGAACUACGCUUGGUCUGAUUCAUGCAAAGUCAUGAUACAUGGGCAAUCUCUAUAGGAUUCGACCGUAUUCCUUAAAAAGAGGGGAAUAAGAGGUAGGAAACAAAAAGGAAAUUUGGGAUAAUGUCGGGAUGAAACAUACGACCAUUGCAAGCAUAUAGAAACCCGUUAUCUGUAUAGGUGCAUCAUACCUAACAUUUGAUUUCCCGUUUGUUUUCUGCCCCGAACUAACUACUGAAUUCCAGUGUCCAAUUCAGGUGUUUUAAGAACAGUGAUUGGUUUGCGAUAAGCUGGCUUCACACGAAUAAUUCACUAUGUCAAGGGAAACACAGAUAAGUCAACCGAAAUAACUCUACCAGCAGUCCCUAUCCUAGAGGACAACCCAAUUACAGGAGUACCAGCCUCCGAAUCUACAGCGGCUGAAGAAAACAGGAUCAUGCGGCUCCGAGUGAUGGAGAUGUAGGAUGCCUGGACAAAUGGGAAAGAACCUCCAAGCGCUAUCCCCGGAUUUCCCGAGCUUUUUCCAAGGUCAGGGGGUACCUCCGCCAUCCCUAUCAGCCACCCAAAUAUUCUCUUGGGGCAGCCUACCAUAUCAACAAAUUUUGUCGAGCGCCCUCUGAAACCCGCCCUCCAAUGUUUACAUCUAGGCCAGUUCCCAACAUCUUUACGGACCCUCCUUGCACAGCUACUCCACCCAAAUAUUCUCCUCGGGCAGCCCACAAUAUCAACAAAUUUUGUCGGGGCACCCUCUGAAACCCGUCCUCCAAUGUUUACAUCCGGUACAGUUCCCCACAUUUUUACGGCCCCUCCGUGCGCAGCCACCACGCAGCCUGCGGUAUCGAGGCCCGUGUUUGACCCCACAACUUUUACAUUCCAAACUCCUAACUACCAAAACAAGCCUCCCUCGUAACCACAUACAACUACCCUCAUCCAGCAUAUGAACUUACCCCAGUGCAAGACAAAACCCCCAAAACGCCCGAACAAGAUGAAAUCACAAGGAGAAUGAAGAGUCUUGAACAAAGCCUUAAGAACAUGCAAAGACUAAGUGGGCAGAAGAGUGUAUCUUACUCAGACCUAUGCAUGUUCCUACACGUACAUCUUCCCUUGGGGUUUAAAACUCCGAAGUUUGAAAAAUACAAUGGCCACGGCGACCCCAUCUAAAGCCUGAAGAACAUACAAGGACUAAGUGGACAAAAGAGUGUAUCUUACUCACACCUAUGCAUGUUCCCACACGUACAUCUUCCUUUGGGGUUUAAAAUGCCGGAAUUUAAAAAAUACGAUGGCCACGGCGACCCCAUCGCUCAUUUUAAAAAGUAUUGCAAUCAACUACGUGGAGCCGGGGGGAAGGAAGAACUCUUGAUGGCGUAUUUUGGGGAGAGCUUAGUGGUCAUUGCGUCCGAAUAGUACAUAGUCCAAGAUAUUACCCGAUGGCACAUCUGAGAUGACCUCGCCAGGGACUUUGUAAGGCAAUUCCAGUACAACAUCAACAUCGCCCCGGAUAGGAGUUCCCUAGCAGACUUGAAAAAGAAACCUGCUGAAAGCUUCAGACAAUAUGCUAUUAAAUGGCGCUCAUCGAGAGUAAAGCCUCCUAUGGACGAUGCGGAGAUGGUCACUGUCUUUCUGCAAGCGCAAGAGGCAGACUAUUUUCAUAAUAUGAUGUCGGCCAUGGGUAAUCCUUUUGCAGAGGCAAUUAAGAUAGGGGAGAUGGUAUAGAAUGGCCUCAAAACAGGGAGGAUUCUGAGUCCAUCCACCAUAAGAGCCACCUCCCAGGCUAUACAAGGAGGGGCGGGAGGAAUCCUAAGAAACAAGAAGAUAGAAGAAGCAUCCAUGGCAUCCUCCGAGAUGAGGAAACAUCAUGCUCACAGGCAUGCAUUCUCUGAUAGGGCACCUCAACAUUACUAUCCUGACCAAGACAUGCACUAUGUCCCUUAACCCUAUGCAGUUAUGAACGCUCAGCCCUUUUCUCGACCUCAACAGCCGGACAACAUAAACCAAGCCCCCAAGAAAUCAGCCUCCUCAGAAUCAUUACAAUCCCCGCCCUCCACAAAAUAAUUAUCGUCCCAGGGAGCCACCAAGGAGAUAGAACUUCACUCCAAUAGGAGAAUCCUACGCCAGCCUGUUCCCAAAGUUGGUCCACAUGGGUCUCUUGCAGCCUGUGCCCCCAAAUAGACAAAACCCCGAAUCACCUUCUUAUCAAAGGCGCGUACAUUGUGCUUACCACUCUGGGGUAGAGGGACAUGAUACCAAAAAUUGUUGGACCCUAAAACGAGCAGUGGAGGAUUUGAUAGACUAAAAGAAGAUAGUAUUGAGAGAUGAGGAGAUCCCAAACAUAACUGAUAACCCGUUACCGGCUCAUAACAACGGGCCGAUCAUCGGAAUGAUAUGCGAGGACAAAGAAUUUGAGCCCGCCCUCAAAGCCAUCAUAGCCAUCGCCGAGGCAGACAUAAAACUAAAAGUCUCCCCCAAACAGAUUGAAGAAAAUAAAAUGAAUGAAGUCAAAUGCUCAUAAGCAGAAAAGAAGGCUGAAGUCAAAACUGAGAUGACCUCUUCCGAGGAAACAAUGCUCCACAUCCGAAAAGGGCAUCAAGAAAAGAAGCCGACUUUGAGCCCCCCAAAAAGGUUCAAGCUGAACAAUACCAUGUAUAUACCCAAGAAAGCCUAUGUAGUACGGGAAUCGAUUAAACCACCGGUGUUGAAUGAGCCCGUGAUAAUCGAUCACGCACUGCCGAAGCCCAUGGCCAACCCUUCAGCAGUCCCUUGGAAUUAUCAGGAAACUAUCGUUAUAUACAAGGGCAAAGAAGUCCUCGGGGAAGCUCAAAAAGGUUAUCCCACAAAGAAGUACUCCGAUAUGGAAGAAGUGAAACGCUGCUACCAAACGGUGAUUUCCACCUAAGAGGCUAGUGAAUGCUGAGGAGGCAGAAGCCUUCUUCCAGAAAAUGAAAAUGCCGGAGUACGAAGUGGUGGACCAGCUCCGAAAAUCCUCUGAGUAGAUUUCUUUGUAACUCUUGAUGAAAUCUCCCGAGCAUCAGCAGGUGUUGGAAAAAACAUUGAACGAGGUUUAUGUACCGGCUGAGACCUCUGUAGUGCAACUAGAGAAAAUGGCGGAGAGAUUCUGCGCUAUUAACAAGGUCUCGUUAAGCAAGAAUGACUUACCUCCGGAGGGAGCUGCUCACAACAAAGACUUGUACCUCACUGUCCAGUGUGAGGGAUAUUAUGUCAAAAUAGUGAUGAUCGAUGGAGGUUCCAAAGUAUACAUAUUCCCACUAUCUACCUUGCAGAGAAUGGAGAUUGGGACAUAGAGGAUCCAUCCUAACAACGUAUGUGCAAGCCUUCGAUGGAAUCAAGAGGGACACCAUAGGGGAAAUUGACUUGGUGCUCACCAUUGGUCCAGUCGACUUCGAAGUAACAUUUCAGGUGUUGGACAUGUACACCUCCUAUAACUACCUCCUAGGAAGGCCGUGGAUUCAUGCAGCAGGAGCAGUGCCUUCUACCCUGUACCAAAUGCUGAAAUUUGAAAAUGAAAACCAAGAGAUUGUAGUUCAUGGAGAGGACGAACAGUCAAUUUACUGGGACCCCUCUGUCCCAUGUCUAGAAGCCAAGGAAGGGAGUGAGCACAUAGUGUAUCAAGCUUUUGAAGUCGUAGUAGCCGAUCAACAUGAAGAGGGUAAGCCGUUCCCCCAGCCUUUCCUGUCAAAUGCUUCAAUUAUGGUGGCAAAGGAAAUAACACGCCAAGGUUUUAAGCCAGGCAAGGGACUCGGAAGCUCCCUACAAGGCAUAAUCGAGCCGGUCGCCUUGCAUGCCGCAGAAAAGUUCUUUGGACUGGGCUUUCAUCCAACCUCAGAAGAUAUCACCUGGGCCAAUCGCAGAACGCGCCAGGGAUGGGCCUUACCAUGACCCCUACCCCACAUGUACAAAACCUUUGUAAAACCAAAGUAUAGUGCGGAGGAGGAAGAAACCUUCACGGCAGAAGAAAUUAAUGAGAUCUGCGGGGCUAUGAGGGAGUUGCUCGGGAUGGGCCUUGCCACGACCCCUACACCACUUGUACAAAACCUUUGAAAAACAAAGUACAGUGAGUAAGAGGAAGAAGAAACUUUCACGGCAGAAGAAAUUGAUGAGAUUUGCGGAGCUAUGAGGGAGUUUCUGUACGAGUUCAACAUGGUCUAACCGGGAGAAGGUUCAAGCGCCGCCGAAGUGCUAUAUAUGGGGCCAGAUGCUAAGCUUCAAAAUUGGAAGGCCAUAUCUUUUCCAGUCAGGAGGGAGCCCGGUUGUCCCGCCUUGCUACCUCUUCCUACAUCACGAGCUAUUUUAGGGUGUAGCUCGGUUGUUUGUUUUUCCUUUGUACUUUGCCUUUUAAACCUUAAGUUGUAAACCCUGUUAUCUUACCAGUUCAAAGAGAUAAAAUCAAUAUUUCGUCAUUUUCACCUCUUUGUUUUUCUCUAAUUUUUAUCUUUCUUUUAUUUUUCAUCUUUUCUUUCAGUCCCACUAAUGUGGAUUUAAAUAAAAUGACAUGCUCGCAGACAUCAUGCCACGACCCAAAUAUGCUUCCCAUCUCUGAAAUAAUGAACCAAAAACCGGAAUAUGAUAAAGAAGAGGCUUUUAGGGAAAUCAACCGAGAGUUGGAACACUUUGAAGACAAACCUAAGCCAAACUUAAACUUUAAUGAACCGGUUAACUUGGGCAAUGCCGAUGAAAUCAAAGAAACUAAAAUAAGCAUCCACAUGAAUAAAGAAGUACGGGAUUCAUUAGUUCAACUCCUUUUGGAAUUCAAAGAUGUAUUUGCGAGCUCCUACGAUGAAAUGCCUGGUUUGAGUAUGGAUUUGGUGGUUCAUAAGCUGCCUACAUACCUUGAAUGCCCUCCGGUCCAACAAAAGCAAAGAAAAUUCAAGCCUGAUGUCAGCGAUAAAAUCAAAGAAGAGAUUACGAAACAACUAGAGGCAGGGGUAAUCCGGGUGGUUCGGUACACCACAUGGCUGGCCAAUGUGGUCUCGGUACAGAAAAAGAACGGAAAAACUCGAGUGUGUAUGGACUACAUGGACUUAAAUAAGGCGAGUCCCAAGGACAACUUCCCUCUACCCAAAAUCCACAUUCUUGUCGAUUACUGUGCCAAGAAUGAGAGUCAAUCCUACGUAGAUUGCUACGCAAGAUACCACCAAGUGUUGAUGGAUGAGGAGGAUGCUGAGAAAACCGCCUUUACCACACCUUGGGGAACCUAUUGUUAUAGAGUUAUGCCUUUUGGAUUGAAAAACGCCGGGGAAACAUACAUGAGGGCUAUGACCACCAUCUUCCACGACAUGAUGCAUCGAGAAAUAGAGUUAUAUGUGGAUGACGUGAUUAUCAAAUCUAAGACUCAGAUUGAAAAAUGUCGGGGCAACCUACAUGAGGGCUAUGACCACCAUCUUCCACGACAUGAUGCAUCGAGAAAUAUAGGUAUAUGUAGAUGACAUGAUUAUCAAAUCUAAGACUCAGGUCGAUCAUGUAAAGGACUUGGGGAAGUUCUUCGAAAGGCUCCGCAAAUAUGAUUUGAAAUUAAAUCUAGCAAAGUGUGAAUUGGGGUCCCGCCAGGCAAACUUCUGGGGUUCAUAGUCAACUAAAGAGGCAUCGAAUUGGAUCUAACCAAGACAAAAUCCAUUCAAGAGCUACCUUCGCCAAGGACUAAAAAGGAUGUAAUGAGUCUAUUGGGAAGAUUGAAUUACAUAAGUCGAUUCAUCACCAGUUGACUUCCACAUGUGAGCCCAUAUUUAAGCUACUGAAAAAGGAUGCGGCAGUUAAGUGGACAGUUGAGUGUCAUGAAGCUUUCGACAUAAUCAAAUAAUACUUGUCCAAUCCACCAGUUUGGUUCUGCCAGAGCCUGGAAUUCCGCUAUUUUUCUAUCUAACAGUCUUGAAAGGCUCUUUUGGUUGUAUUCUCGAGCAGCAUGGCGCCACGAAAAAGAAAGAGCAGGCCAUUUAUUAUGUGAGCAAAAAGUUUACUAGUUACGAGGCCACGUACACACUGUUAGAAAGAACUUGUUGCGCCUUGACGUGGAUGGCUCAGAAGUUAAGGAAUUAUCUACAAGCUCAUACCACGUACCUCAUAACCAGGCUGGAUCCACAAAGGUACAUAUUCCAAAAACCAAUGCCCACAGGACGACUGGCCAAAUGGCAGAUCCUGCUCACGGAGUUCGACAUUGUUUAUGUCACGCGUACGGCGAUGAAAGCUCAAGCAUUGGCAGAUCAUCUGGCUGAGAACCCCGUUGAUGAUGAAUAUCAUCCUUUAUACACAUUCUUCCUUGAUGAAGAAGUGAAUUCGUUGGAAGUAGCAGCUGAAGACACCCCUGUUUGGAAAAUGUUCUUCGACGGAGCAGUAAACGCAAAAGGCAUAGGGAUUAGGGAAAUUUUAAUCUCACCUACAGGCCAGCAUUAUCCAGCCAAAUCCAGGCUCCAUUUCUUUUGCACCAAUAAUACAGCUGAAUAUGAGGCUUGCAUCAUGGGCAUGAACAUGGCCAUUAAUCAAUAUGUCGAAGAAUUGCUAAUCAUGGGAGAUUCUGAUCUGAUCAUCCGACAAGCUCAAGGAGAAUGGAAGACAGGAGACAUUAAGCUCCUCCCAUACAAACAGCAUGUGGAAUACCUCAGCAAAGAGUUCAGGUUGGUACAACUGAGGUACAUUCCCCAUUUCCACAAUGAGUUAGCAGAUGCACUCGCAGCCUUGGCCUCCAUGUUACCAUACCCUGGGAACGCCUAUGUUGAUCCGUUACAAAUCCAAAUCAAAGAAAGGCAUAGGUAUUAUAAUGCGACCGAAGCAGAGCCCAGCACAUAACCUUGGUAUUAUGACAUCUUGAGAUUCCUGAAAUAACAUGGGUACCCUGAGCAAGCCACCGGAACAAAAGAAAACCAUCCGACGGCAUGCAAGCAAUUUCUUCUUGAGCGGGUGACACUUUGUAUAAAAGGACUCUAGAUCAUAAUUUAUGAGAUGUGUGGAUACCGAGGAAGCCGGGAGAAUUAUGCACGAAGUACAUGCGGGAGUGUGUGGUCCCCAUAUGAAUGGCUAUGUAUUGGCAAAGAAGCUACUCGUAGGUGGCUAUUACUGGAUGACCAUGGAGAAAGACUGCUUCAGCUUCGUUUGAAAAUGUCAUCAAUGCUAGGUGCACGGUGCUAUGUAGUAGCAAAAAAGAUAGUCUGAGCUGGCUAUUACUGGAUGACUAUGGAGUAAGGCUAAUGGUGCAGUCGAAGCGGCUAACAAUAACAUCAAGAAGAUCUUGAGGAAAAUGAUUCAAAGCGCGAGGAAAUGGCACGAAAAGAUUCCUUUUGCACUGAUGGGGUAUCGUACCACAGUACGUAUAUCGGUAGGAGCAACCCCCUAUUUGCUGGUCUAUGGGAUCAUACUCGCUGAGGUGGAAAUCUCUUCGCUCCGAGUGAUUGUCGAAGCAGAAGUUGAAGAUAAUGAAUGGUUCAAAACCCGUUUGGAGCAGCUGACAUUAAUUGAUGAAAAACGAGUGGCUGCGGUAUACCACGUGCAGUUUUACUAGUAAAGAAUAGCCCGUGCUUACAACAAGAAAGUGCGCCCCAAGAAUUUUGAAGUCGGGUAGCUGGUAUUGAGAGAGAUACUUCCUCAUAAUCAGGAAGCCAAAAGAAAAUUCGCUCCAAACUGGAAAGGUCCAUACAUUAUCAGAAAGAUAUUGCCAAAAGGAGCAUUGUACCUGGGUGACGUUGAAGGAGACGAGCCCGAGGCAGCAGUAAACGUGGAUGCAGUAAAAAGGUAUUAUGUUUGAAUCCCCUGCAGCAACGGCCUCGGUUGAUUGAAAUGAUGAAGAAAAAAAGGAAAACAAAGAAGAAAAAAUAAAAGAAAUAAAAAUAAAAGAAAAUAAGGAAGAAAAAAAAGGAAAAAAGAAGAAAAAAAGAAAAGAAAAAAGGAAUACAAACAAAAUUAGUUUAGGCAAAAAACUUCCUGAACUACGUCUGACUUGAUUCCGAAAAAAUACGUAGGCAGCCUCUCCCUGAGGUUCAGUCAUAUCAAAAUAAAAACCCCAUUUACCCAAGAAAAUCAAAACUGGGGCAGAAAUGUAUUGGUUCGGUUACAAAUCCAUCUGAAUGAUUCCAAAGUUAUAGAUCCUCGGGGAUGUAAAAAAUAUUGUGUUGGGAUUCGGCACCAACCAAUUUUUUGAGAGAAAUGAAAAUGAGAGAGUCUUAUUGGUGAAAACCUCCGGGCACCAUGAGGCGACGGAGAGCAGAGAAAAACAAAAUAAGAGAGUCUGUUUAGCGAAAACUCGCAAAGAACGCUAUCGGCGACGGGAGAAGAGAAAUAAGACAGGCCGAUUGGCAAAAACCCGAAAAAGGCGCCGUCAGCCGAAAAGAGGAAAUAUUGUUGCUCAAGUCUGAAUCAGUUUCUUUGAUCUUGAAAGAGCUCAAACCAGAAAGCAGAAAUGAAUUUGGGUCGGGUAUUGAGUCCAAGAAGCAUGUCGUUUCCAUUUAAAGCCGACUCAUAUUUCCAUAUUAGUCCCCUCUCUUCCCUCCAAAAGGAACAUACCUCUCUAAAAUCCAUGUUUCAUUCCUUUCCACUUUUACUUUGAUGUCUUGACUAUUCCUUAAGAAAGGUAGCAGGGUUGGUCUUACGGGUUUCUCCUAGCAAGAACUAAAGGAAUACCCGGCAUCGUCAAGCGCGCUUAGCCAAUACCCGCUGAUCAUGAUGGUUGACGCCUCAAAAGCAGGGAAAUAAAAGAAAGGAAAUUCAAAAUCAAAGAUCCAUGUAGGUGAAGCAAAAUCGGAGGGUUUUAAGCCAAGCAGGACAUUGGUUCUUAUCAAAACCACCAAAAGCAAGCCCCGAAAUCAAAUCGGGGCAAAACCCGUAACUGAAGGCCUAGAAAACAAAAACCAACCCGAAAAUGAGGACCCAUGGCCAACCUACAAAGCAAAGACUAGAAGUAAAGGGUUUUGUCCUCUGACAGGAAGGAAGCUGAAAUCAAGCAUGGCAAGGCCGCAAAACCAAUCGCUGUUCAAACUAACAGUUUGUUUUGUUUCUAAACUAAUAUAGACGCAGGCACAACCUAGAAAAACAGAAGGAACAUGGGGAAAAAACAACCAAAGGAUUGGCACAAGGACCAAGGAUGGUGUUGCAUCAAUAACAAAAGGGAAGUUUUCUUUUCAUUUUCCUGAAAACUCGUAAAUAAGCAUGAUAGCACGGGAUUCCAAUCCUUAGUUUCCCCUUGUACAACUUGUGGAUUUCCUAGGCAUGACCCAAGGAUUGCAUUCCACCCCCUCCAGCAUAGACCAGGAAGUCUCUUUCCUUCACAUCCCGGCAUAGCCUGGGAAGUUCCUCUUCACAUCCCAAGCAUAACCUGUGGAUUCUUUUGCUACACUUUCUACUCCCCAACGUAGUCUAAAAGUUAACGCUACCCUAUCCUUAACAUAUCUUAAGGGUUGUUCCUUCCCCUCUACCCCCAGCAUAGUCAAAAGGAUCUCUCCGGUCCCUCACUUCCUGGUAGAUCCUCCCUACCAUAACAUAGGAUUUUUUUCUUUCAUCCCAGCAUAAUCUGUGGAUCUCCCUAGCAUAACCUAGGAAUUUGCAUUCGUCCCGGCAUAACCUGCGGAUCCCUCUAACAUAACCCAGGAAUUUUUCAUUUAUCCCGGUAUAACCCGUGGAUCUCCCUAGCAUAACCUAGGAGUUUUCCAUUAAUCCUGACAUAACCCGUGGCUUCCCCUGGCAUAAACCAGGAAUUUUUUUUCCCCUGGUAUAACCCGUGGAUCCUCUGGCAUAGCCCGGAUUUCUUCACAACCCAUGGUUCUCUUUCCAUCCCCAGCAGGGACUUUUUCAUUCUUAUCCUGGCAUAACCCGUAGAUCCUCUUCUUAUCCCCAGCAGGGACCCUGUCUCCUUCCCAGCAUAACCUAGCAAUCUUUCCAAAGGUACACAAUCCCGAUUUUUAUUGUUUUCAAUAAAGAAUAGCUUGGAUUUGCGUUGCAAAUAACUCACAAAAUUUUCCUAGUGAAAACUGGGGAUGAAAUUUCGUUCGUGUUUUUGUGUUGAUGUCCGAGUAGGUCUCACCUUAUGGCACAAGACUCGAAAUGACCAAAAAGCAUGAGUCUCAAUUCAAAACAAAAGAAAACAAGAAAAGGACAAAAGAAGUGAAUUCAAAAUGAUGAAGCGGACAGAGAUACGAACUGCUCAAAAUUGGAAUGAAGUCACAAACUCUGCAUGUCCUGUUUUGUUUCAAAAACUGAAGAAUAAACCAGCAGCUGCAGCUAAUAGGCAUCAAGAUUCAGAUCAAGGUCUACGGCAAAAUCGGCUAAGAUUCAAGAUCAAGAUCCUAGAGAUUUAUGUAUAAGAAUCUUGAAUAACGUAGUUGACGGGCCUAGCCAGUUUAGCUUUUGUUUUUAUUUUGUGUAAUAAAGAGUUGGUAAACAGUAGCAGCAGCAACAGCAGUGAAAUCACAGCCCAGGGUAGUCCCAGUUACCAAAACUUCCAGAACUACACUGACCUGAUUCCUUUAUCGCCAAGGAUAUGUAGGCAACCUUUGAAGCAAGGUUCACUCAGAAAUUUUUCAAAGUGCUUCACACGGAGUACUCAGUCGGACGAAAAUCGCUCAUGUUUGCUCACUUGUCUUUGCACAAAAACUCUUAGUGUUCCCGCGCAAAGAGGGGCAGCUGUGAGCAUGUGAUUUUUGCCCUGCUAAGACGACUCCUAUAGGACUCUCAGGUUUAGGAUUUCCUUUUAAUAUUUGUUUAAGGAUUUAAUUUUAGAAUUUAAUUACGUGUGUCAGUAUGUUUUCAUUGGUGCAUGCAUAAAAUCAGUUAGGAUUUAAUUUCGUGUUUUUGCUAAAAUAACUGUUAAUUAGGGUUAUUUUUACAAAUAUAAAAUUCAAAAUAUAUAAGUAGUAUUUCUGGCAUGUUAAUCGUUUUGUUUAAUUUUUAUUUAUUAUUUUUUGCAUCUUUGUUGCAUAAAUAGAUAAUUAUUAGGUUAAUUAUUAAUUUUUAAAAUAGAAUUAGGAAUUAAAAAAUAAUAAUUAUAAUAAAAAGGGAAAGAAAACAAAACAAAAAAUAUAAAUAUAUAACCACCCAGGCUGGCCACAAUUGGGCCAGAACUGGUGGCCCAAAAUAAUUUUGCCCCGUAAAUAACACCUUUUCCCAGCCCAAACACGAGCCCCGACCCAGUCCACACACUACACCCCAAAAUGACACCGUUUUGGGCAGGCCAUCCUAACCGUCCAUUACAAACCAUCCAAUGGCCCUAACGCUUCCCCCUUAAGCAAAUAAAACUGUCCAAAACAUACGUAUAACAUCAGAGACCACAAAUCUCCUCCUCGUACAGUUCAAAGCCUGAACAUCAUCACCACCUAUGAGCCAUCACAGAACCACCAUCCACCGCCGACCGGAAAUUGCCGUCGUCGACGGCUUAGCCCUAAUACCGUCCAAAUUUACACCAUAAAAGCGUCCCACCCUCCUCUUUCCAUCUCCAUAUGAAUCACACUUCAAAUCCUUGUCGGUCCGCUCGAAUGUUCAAUCGAAGUCUGGCAGCUCCGCCGUCUACGGAGGCGGUCGGUGGCAAACUGACCUCAAACUAACACCAAUGAUUCCCCUUAUCACCUCCACCCUCGCCUUACCAGUAUCCACCCUCGAAUAUUGCCCCAACAUCUCGAAUAUUCAAUUUCGUGGACGCCGCCUUCACUGCCCACGGUGGCGCAACCUACAAAUAGUCUCAAGUUCACACCACUCUGCCUCCUUGACAUCCUCUUCCCAUUCCUACAACUGACCAAACUCGAAUCAGGCCUCUGUUCUUUGAACCCAAUUCAAAUUUGCUGGCCAAAAUACCCACUGGCCCAAAUUCACCAAAACAGGCACCAUGCACUCUCCUCGACCCCUGCCUUCUAAAACCUCGGUGAAAUUUCCAGAGCCCCGUUCCAGUCGCUUGAAUUUUGGACCUGAAAGAGCAUAGCAACUGGAAUCAUGCAUAACCAACGGAUAGUAUCAUUUGAGGUUCAAGUCAUUGAGAGUUCGAACCCCUUAAUUGGUGAGUUUUUCAUUAUAUGUUCUCUCUUUCAUUCAUCUUUCAUUUCUGAUGAAUUCAUGGAAAGUCAAUCCACUACGAGUCAAGGAAAAUUAAAGUCAGUCUGCUAGAAUUUCGCUUUUAUUAGAUUAUAUGGUCACUAUCAUUAGCCUAUUUGUUUAUUAGCCAGUAUUUUAUUAGCUUGGUUAAGUUUGUUUUAAUUUAACAAUCAAUUAGCCCCUCGUCUAUUAGUGUUUAAUCAUGGGUCAGUUAAGCUUGCUGAAUUUGUGCCUCCCUUUUCACAUGUUUCAAUAGGUUUGAAUUUAUGUCUCAUUGGCUUGUGUUUGAGCCCAUACUUACUAAAAACAUGAAGUUUGUUCAGGGAUUCAAAGCCCAUACCCGUCUGACCUAGGCCUGCCUUUGGGGUAAGGACAGGGUUAUUAAGGGUAACUCGGGUAAUAAAAACAUCCAGAUCUUCUAAUAGAGGGUUAAAAUGAGGUGUUCAGAUUCUUAGGUAGAAAACUUGGUCCACAAGUUAAGAACAAAGGGAUCAAAAUUUCAAAAUUGGUUCAAGGUUUGAGUUCUAUAACCAUGGUCAUCUUCUGACCAUAGGGGAGGUUUUGUAUGUUGGUUUGGUCAUUUAGGAUAAGUGAAGGGGUAGUGUAGGUAUUUAGGCAAUUUUGCAGAAAAUUAAUGGAACCUUCUUGUUAGGGGUCUAAAAUAAGACUUUCUGGUAAUUCACAAGAAAACUUGAGAUACAAGAAAAAAAAUGGAGGACUGAUUGGGCAAUAAGAGAGGGACUUUGGGAUAAAACACAAAAAAGGAUUGCCCUACUUAUUUUAGCUAUAAAAUGGCCUUUUUUUCUUAAAAGGGGCUGGAAACACCAGAGGGAAGAGAUAUACACAAUUAAUCAAAAAAGCUACUGUUCCAUUGGUUUUUUUUAAUUACUGGUAUAUUCAAACUGAGGGAUAAUCUAUGGUUCAUUGAGGGUUUAGAGUGCAUUGCGAUUAGCUGUUUGUUCUUCUGGUUUGGACAUUACGAUUUUUGUUUUCCUUGCGAACCUUCUGUGUUAAAUUGAUGGGCCUGGGUUCUCCUUGGCUUGUCUCAUUGUUGAUUUCCGCUACAAUUGUUGACUACUCACACAUUCUUUUUCAUCAUUUACAUUUUCCAGGUAUUUAUCUUAUCUAUGUGAACUGUAGAGUUGAACAAAAUUUGAAGCAAUACAAGCUGUUCAAAUUUAAGCCAUCCUUUAUUUCAUUGUUGUAGUUUUACAUCAUGUAAUAAUUAUGUACUAAUAAUAGUUGUUUAAGUUAAAAUGUAUGAUGUCUAAACUCAGUUCCUUUGAUGUUGAUGAUAGGAGGGGUGUAAUUUAAUUAUUGUGCUAGACUGGGACUUGUGUGUUAUUCCCAUUGCAUCCCUAGGUUGGUUCCUGUUGUUAGAUUUAAUUUGUUGUAAUUUAUAAAUUGAUGUUUGGGCUGUUGAGACUCGACAUUGGGUUGGGUUUAAUGGUACACUGCAUCUCCUGAAGGUGCUUAUAUGAGGGCCAUGGUGUCUAAUGAUUUGGACAUUUCACGUACAGCCUCGCUCUAGAUCAAGUUUGAGGCUCAGUGUGCGUUUUUUUCUGCCUACUAUCGAUUUGCUAGCUUCAUUUUGAAUCUGCAAAUGCUGACAAAUGUCUUAGCAGAGGGUCUUCUUAAGUCCCACUUUUACACAAAUACUGGAAUAACAAAAAUAAAUAUAGGCUUAUAGAUUUACACUUUAAACUGGUAUCGAUUGAAGCACGAGUUGGUGGCAUGAUAUAAAGUCUAUUAUCCUUACUUUGGGCCCCAGUACCAUUUGGGCUCACAAAAUGCAAGGGAACCUAGAUUUAGUCCUCAUAAGGUGACAAUAAACUAUUGGGCUCAUUGGUCCCAGGUUUGAAGGGGCCAACACUUAAAUCUUCAGUUAUAAUAAUGAAAUUCCUUUAUAAUAGACUGAAAAAUGUCACAUAACAAAUUUUCGAGACUUUCACAAAUUAAACGCAUAUUCAUUUUUAUCGUGUUCUUAAAUAAUUCACUUUCCUAAGUACGAGUGCGCAUUUAUGUGACCCAAAUCAAAAUCUCAAUGGAAAUAAAAUAUGUCUAAAAUCGCGUGCGCAUUUAUGUGACGUGAUUCAAGAUGUUUUUUAAUAACAUUGCAAAUCUCCUGAAAUCUACUAAAGCGGUUAAUAAUUUAAAAUUGAAUCAUGGGUCUGAACAUGUACAAAAAAUCAGAUUUUUGCUACUUAUUGUAUGUUUAAGCGAUCUUGCUAGAACUAUGGGAUCCAAGGGUGCCUAACACCUUCCCUCGGAUUAGCAAAAUUCCUUACUUAAGAAUUUCUGGUUCGCUGACUCCAAUUGGGCAGUCAAAAUAUUUCCUAAAUUUGGAAUCUUAAAUAAAUCGGUUACUUGGGACACCAAAAGUCAAACCUAUCCCAAGUGGAGACUCUUGAAUAAAUAAUAAAUCCCAUUGCGAAUAAUGUCAUUAAUUGGAAAAACUCCCUUAUAGGUGUCAUCCUUCAGGGUAGCCGUGUAAAACGGUGGUGUGAAACAUACCAUAACGGCAUCAUCUCGGGGUUGUUCAUAUCCGGCUUCAAUGUUCCUCGAGCACUUAGAUCUUCAGAUAUCGUAUUCUGCCUUCGAGGUCGAGCUUAGUCUAUAUUGAACCUAUACUGGAUGCGACCUAUUGAGCCUACAAAAUUGGAGGCAUAUGAUUCUAACCGUAUACAAAUAGCCCCUGCAUUGGUUAGAAUAAAAAUGACAAUAAACGGAUUGAACCUCGAUUCUCUAGAAUCCUUGAUAAUGACAUAAUUCUCAUAAUGUAGGCAUUCGAGGUGACCGAAACAUCCUGUUGGUUCUCUUCCCCAAAACAUUAAAUGCUUGGCCAUUGGUGGUCGGCUUUUAGCAUUGUUGAAUCGUCGCCGCUUGCCUAUAAAUACAAGGUUCAAACUUGGAAAAAUUUUACUUCAGUCAUCAAACCCCCUCUAAACUUCCAUUAUUUUUCCUUUCUUCACUUCUUUCCUCAUUACUCAUUAUUCUCGUUCCUUUUAGCGUCAGAAAAUACCAAAUUCCGCCUAUCUCUACUUCCUCUAACUUGAAUCAAUGGUGAAAACUUAAAAGAAAGUUCCUCAGAAGGAGAAAGCUUCCUCCUCCUCUUCUCGGCCGGCCAAGCUUGUAUCUCUUUCCCCUCACAAGAUCAUUCCUGGCCCUUGCGUUACAAAGAAAGAUUUCAACGUUGAAAAUUCCCCCACAAUCCCUAGUUGAUGCAAGAAAGUAUCCUGAUAUAUCAAUUUGAAAACGAAGAAGCAUCUCAAAGCCGUGAAAAAAAUUGUGUAUGGGGGACGAGGUCGUGAUACAGAUCCCUGACCACGAAGAGAGCAAUACAACUCACGUAGAGGGGUUCUUGAGUGUUUAUACUUACCCCUUCACACUGAGUCACCUCGACCCAGUAGUGAUUGACUUCUGAAAAAGAUAUCAAGUCACCCUCGGCCAAAUCCAUCCCUCUUUCUAGCAUAUAGUGAUUAUGCUCUACUAGUUCUCUUGCAAGGCUGGGGGACUGGAGUUCACCCUCAAUCACCUUAUUAGAUUGUAUCAGCCUCAACUUUAUCGAGGGUUAAUCAAGCUCCAACGUCGCUCGAGCAAAGCCUUCUUCAUAAGCAAUGACAAGGAUAAGGACCAAGGUUGGAUGAGCUGGUUUGUCCAAGUGAGGAGCUCGAACGUCAUCCCUGAGGGUAAAAUGCCAUUCCCAAAGAAAUGGAACCCCAAUCAUAAGUAAAGUCCUUUUUCCCAAUAUCCUCUCAUAUUCCAUUUCUGCAUUUUGUAAUUCCUUUAUAAUGCCUUUAGCUUUUUUGUGGUUAUUUCUUGGAUGCCCCAUGUGAUCCUCGACCUCCAAGACUCGGUCUGAAAUUAGUUGUAGCCUUCUCGUAUGACAAGCGCAAAUGGUGUGACUUGUUGAGGGGAAAAUGGGAGGCCAAGCACCACGAUUAGUUCUUCUCCCUGUUCAUUGAUGCUUUCCUUUUAUUGGAUAUGCUAUCUCACUUAUACAUAUUUUUCAUUUAUGCAGGUAUUGGAGAUGGCUCUGAAAUGAGGCCAGUCCCGCUUGGGGAAGAGACCAGUCGCUCGAUUCCAAAAUCGGGGAAUGAUAAAAAGCAAAAACGGUCUUCAAAACCCCAAGACCCCCAAGAAAAGAGAGAACCUGCUCAAAGGAAAAGGGGGAAACUCAUUCAAGGUGACAUAGACUCAAUCCACCAACUGAAUAACAAAGAAGAGGACGAGGGUGAGGAGUCGGCGUUGGUGACCUGAAUCAGGAAGCCAAUUGACGCCGUCAAGUCCUCCGAACCGGAAACUCAGCCUCGUGAAGAGGAGGAUCCAAAGGAAAGCGCGGGAAAAGUCCUCGAAUCACCUGAGAUCUACAUCAUUCCCGCGCCUUCAACAAGUACACCAAAGGGGGUGUGAUGACCUAAAAGGUCAUCACUUGUUUUAAAAGUAAAUUUUGCGUUUUGAGGCCUUAAAAACCUCUUUCUAUCUUAACUCGAUUUGCAUGCGCAGUUCGGACGCGUAGCCAGAAAGCCAAUAUGUGAAAAUCUGCGAAAAAUGAUGAAUUUUGACUUUUAAAUGAAUUUAAGUUGACUACGGUCAACAUAUUAGGUAAAUGGACCGGGACCCAGACCCGUGAUUUGACGGUCCCGGAGGGUCCGUAGGAUAAUAUGGGACUUGGACAUAUGUCCGGAAUUGAAUUCCAAGGUCCCACGCUUGAGAAAUGAAUUUUUAAAGAAAAACUUUUUUUCUGGAAUAUUUACGAGAUUUUGAAAGUGAAAUGUGUUUAGAAUUUAAUGGUUUCAGGCAUGUAUUUUGGUUCUAGAACCCCGUACAGGUCUUAUAGAUGAUUUGAGUCGAACCUGUGAAAUUUGGUAAGAAAUGAACUUGAAAUGACAUGAAUCGGACCUUAUUUGAGAAAAUUCGAAAUUUGAUGUUUUCAAGUAAUUUCAUGAUUUUGAUACUAAAUUCAUAGUUGUUGAUGUUAUUUUGGUGAUUUGAAUACACGAGCGAGUCUGUAUGAUAUUUUUAGAUUGGUGUGCAUGUUUGGUUUGGAGCCCCUUGGGCUCGAUUGAGUUAUGGAUAGACCAUAGGGUGGAAUUCAGACUUGGGAAAUUGCAGGUUUCAGCUGUUCUAGUGAAGGCCUAUAUGCUUCGCAUUUGUGAAGCCUCAGGUCAGCCUUCCCUCGCAAAUGCGAGUUUUUCAUCGCAAAUGCAAUGUUCCCCAUUUUUUGCCAGUCGUCGCAAAUGCGACAGGAUGUUCGUAAAAGCAACUUUGCAAAUGCGAUGUUAGCAGAGUCUGGGUUCGUAAUUGUGAACCCUGGUGACAAUUGAGAUACCUAUUACUUGUAAGUUCAUAACUUAGACACAUUUUCAACCAUUUUUCACAUCUUAUCAAAACAUAAACUCUCUAGGGAGAUUUUUCAAAGGCUACUUCUCUUCCUAAUCGAUCAUAAAUGAUUUCUAACUAGUUUUCUUUAAUCUUUAACAUCUUUUCACAUGAUUUUAACUCAAAAUUAAUGAUUUUCAUGAGAAAAAUUUGGUAUUUUGGAUAGAACCUAGGUUUUCAAACUUUGGGGAUUUGGACCUGGAUUUGAGGUCCGAUUUCAAAAUAAAUUAUAUGCUUGAGUUCGUGAGGGCAUAGGUAAUCGGGUUUUGGUAUGAACCUCAGGUUUUGACCUUGUGGGCCCGGGGGCGAUUUUUCUGACUUUUGGCAAAACUUGAAAAUUUUAUUUUCAUGCAUUAGAAUUGAUUCAUUUAGCAUUUAUUGAUAUAAUUAAGUAACUUAUGGCUAGAUACAAGCAAAUUGGUGGUGGAAUCAAGGGGUAAAGUGAUAGUUGGACUUGAAUUGUGUUCGUAACAUCUAGGUAAGUGUUUGGUCUAACCUUAGCUUGAGGGAUUAGGAGUCGAGCCCUAUUUUGCUAUGUGGUAUAUGUUGAGUACGACAUAUCGUCAUGGUGGCGAGUAUCUAUAUGUUUGUGUCAAGCAUGCUCGUGAGUCUUAUAUUGUGAUUACUAUGACUUCGAUGUAUUAUUCAUCUCUUGGUGAUGAUUUCUAUUGUUGGACAAAGUUUGUGGAAGUAAUUGUGACAUUUGAACAUUGAGGAGUGGUGGCUUAAGUUGUAUAAUUAAAUGUGAAAGUACAAGUGGUAAUUGAACCUUUUAGAGCGUUUCCGCAAGUCGUGAAGUAAAAGUGAGAAAGAGAAGAGAACUGUUAUGUUGCCUUCCUUGCCGAGAUAUUAUUGCUUUUAAUGCUAUCUCCAUUACGGUGAUGUUGGUGUUUCUUUUGAUGUUGUUCCCUUGCCGGGACUUGAUUGUUGAACUAUUGUUCUCUUUCCGAGAUUCUUAUUGUAAUUUCAUUUGUUUCCUUGCACUAUUGUUUGUGAUUAUUGUUUGGGUGAUGAAGAGUGUUAAAGCACGAAGGGUGAUGUCGUGUAUUGUUUUGGUGAGAGAGUGUUAAAGCACGAAGGGUGAUGCCGUGUAUGAUUUAUGAGGAAGAGUGUAAAGCAUGAAGGGUGAUGUCGUGCCGCACAAUGUACAAUUUCGUGCUGAUUAUAUUGAUUAUAUGGUGAGGACGAGAGUAAAAGCACGAAGGGUGAUGUCGUGCAUAUUUCAUUACUUUAUUUCUUUGGUGAGGACGAGAGUAAAAGCAUGAAGGAUGAUGUCGUGCACUUGUUUGAUUUUUGAUUCUUGUUGAUAGCUGAGAUAUGGUGUUGCUCUUAUUUACUCGCUGUCGUCUGAUGUUUCCUCGCAACAUGUUUUCACCUCCCAUACAAGACAGUAUAUUACUGUUCUUUUUUUCAUUGUAUAUAGUUAAACUGCACACGUUUAUUUAAUAGUCUGGUCCUAACCUCGUCACUACUUCGCCGAGGUUAGGCUAGGCACUUACCAGCAUAUGGGGUCGGUUGUACAUUAGAUUUAAGGGGUGCUGAACAUAGUUAUACAUUAGGUUUAGGGGGAAAGGGGGUUCAGGAUCACAUAGUAACUAGGUUUCAUGCUUAUAAUGUAUUGAGGGUUAGGGGUAGGGCAUAGUAGUUGUAGAAAAUGUAAGAAAGCAAUAGACAUACUGAAUUACAGGAUAAUCACAUGGCAAAAUAGGCAUGCUAAUUUCAAGGGAGACAAUAGAACCUCAAGUAGAAGCAUAAGAGAAACAAAAGGAAGUGCAAUAUGAAUAGAAACAUAUUGUUUUGGAUGUUGUAAGUUAAACUGAAAAUAUACCAGUAAAAAAAUGAGAGAAUGAGUGCAGAAUGAGGAGUGGAGAACAGUACAAUAAAGGGAAGUAGAGCAGUAAUGUGUAGAGCAGUAGAGUAGUAGAACAAUAGAGUAGUGCAGCAAUGUAAACACAAGUCAUCUAUGGAUAGCCCUACCAAGCAUCACCCAACCCCGGGUGAGGAGUACAAAAAAAACUCUAGGAGCUCCUAUCCUACAACCCUAAACUAGACCUCCAGACUUUCCUGUCAAGGGUCAUGUCCUCGGAAACCCGCAUUCUAGCCAUGUCNNNNNNNNNNNNNNNNNNNNNNNNNNNNNNNNNNNNNNNNNNNNNNNNNNNNNNNNNNNNNNNNNNNNNNNNNNNNNNNNNNNNNNNNNNNNNNNNNNNNNNNNNNNNNNNNNNNNNNNNNNNNNNNNNNNNNNNNNNNNNNNNNNNNNNNNNNNNNNNNNNNNNNNNNNNNNNNNNNNNNNNNNNNNNNNNNNNNNNNNNNNNNNNNNNNNNNNNNNNNNNNNNNNNNNNNNNNNNNNNNNNNNNNNNNNNNNNNNNNNNNNNNNNNNNNNNNNNNNNNNNNNNNNNNNNNNNNNNNNNNNNNNNNNNNNNNNNNNNNNNNNNNNNNNNNNNNNNNNNNNNNNNNNNNNNNNNNNNNNNNNNNNNNNNNNNNNNNNNNNNNNNNNNNNNNNNNNNNNNNNNNNNNNNNNNNNNNNNNNNNNNNNNNNNNNNNNNNNNNNNNNNNNNNNNNNNNNNNNNNNNNNNNNNNNNNNNNNNNNNNNNNNNNNNNNNNNNNNNNNNNNNNNNNNNNNNNNNNNNNNNNNNNNNNNNNNNNNNNNNNNNNNNNNNNNNNNNNNNNNNNNNNNNNNNNNNNNNNNNNNNNNNNNNNNNNNNNNNNNNNNNNNNNNNNNNNNNNNNNNNNNNNNNNNNNNNNNNNNNNNNNNNNNNNNNNNNNNNNNNNNNNNNNNNNNNNNNNNNNNNNNNNNNNNNNNNNNNNNNNNNNNNNNNNNNNNNNNNNNNNNNNNNNNNNNNNNNNNNNNNNNNNNNNNNNNNNNNNNNNNNNNNNNNCCCGCUCCUAUACGAUGAGUGACGUCCCCGUCAAUCUCUCCGUCCCCCUGAAUCACCGACCCAAGAUAUCUGAUACUGUCCCUCUUGGCGAUAACCUGGGAGCCAAUCGUCACGUCCCUGCGUACUUCGCUCGGCUCGGCGUUAAACUUGUACUCCAGGUAUUCAGUCUUAGAUCUACUUAUUUUGAAACCCUUAGACUUGAGAGUCUGUCUCCAUACCUCUAUCCUCUCAAUAACACCGACCCUCGUCUCGUCGAUCAAGACUAUGUCAUCAGCAAAUAGCAUACACCAAGCCACAUCCCCUUGAAUAUGUCGGGUUAGAGCAUCCAUCACCAAGGCAAAAAGGAGAGGGCUAAGCGCCGAUCCUUGAUGGAGCCACAUAAUCACUGGAAAAUGGUCUGAGUCGCCACCCACUGUCCUAACCCUGGUCUUAGCUCCAUCAUACAUGUCCUUGAUUACUCUGAUGUAGGCUUCUGGCACGCUCUUCGCCUCCAAGCACCUCCAUAGCACCUCCCUNNNNNNNNNNNNNNNNNNNNNNNNNGUCCUAACCCUAGUCUUAGCUCCAUCGUACAUGUCCUUGAUUACUCUGAUGUAGGCUUCCGGCACGCUCUUCGCCUCCAAGCACCUCCCUUGAGACCUUGUCAUACGCCUUCUAUAAGUCGAUAAGCACCAUGUGCAGGUCCUUCUUCUUAUCCCUGAACUGCUUCACCAGCCGCCUGACAAGGUGGAUAGUUUCUGUAGUGGAGUGACCCGGCAUGAAACCGAACUGGUUCACAAAUAUAGAUGUCAUAUCCCCCACCCUCGCCUCGAUCACCCGCUCCCAAAACUUCAUGGUGUGACUUAUUAAUUUUAUACCCCUAGAGUUGUUGCAGCACUGGAUGUCCCCUUUGUUCUUGUACAAGGCCACCACUGUACUCCACCUCCACUCAUCCGGCAUCCUUUUGGUCCUGAAGAUCGCAUUGAACAACCUGGAGAGCCACUCCCCUCCUGACUUACCCAAACUCUACCAUCCUCGCCCUUGAUGCACCUAACUUUGUCAAGGUCACGUGCCUUCCUUUCCCUUGCUUUAGCUAACCGGAAUAACUUCCUGUCCCCGCCUCUCUCCCCUAGUCCUCGUACGUGCGACCAAACGCUGUAUUUUUAGCUUCUGUAACCUCCAACUUUGCUUCUUUCCUUACCACCUUGUAGAUCUCCAUGUUCGCUCUUCGUUCUUCCUCACUUAUGCUUCCUGCCAACUUAGCAAACGCCGCCUUCUUCAGGAAAUAGUAGAUUAAAGAAAAUAUCUUUCAUUGAUGGAUUUCAAACCUUUUGUUGUGUACAAAAAUUACAGGAACUUCAAUUUAGGAAAUAGAAUCAACGGUGACUUUCUUUCUUUGCCAUCAAUUCUCGUUCUACUCUCUUCUUCAAAAUUUUCUCCAUUUUCUUUCGUCGUCCUCUUCUGUCUUCUCCCCUUUAUAAAGAAGAAUAAGGUUAGAUAUAAGUAGAUGGAGAUGUGGGUGUAAGUGUGUGAUCAUGGGUAGAAGACGUAAGUAAAUGGAGAAAAUGGGGAAGUUGGAUCAGAUUUUGUUAUCUCUUUUGUUUUACUUUUUUUUAAUUCUUUUAUUACUUUUCUUAACCCCUUUUUAAUUAAAUAAAAGAAGAUAAAACACACACACAUAUAUAUAUAUAAAUUUUAGUUUUAAAGAAAACUAUAUAAAUAAGAAAAUCCAAUAUUUACACUAUAGUUUAAAUUAUACUAAGAAAAUAUUAGGACUUACUUAUUAAAAUUCUGAUGAAAGAAUAUAUAUAUAUAUANNNNNNNNNNNNNNNNNNNNNNNNNNNNNNNNNNNNNNNNNNNNNNNNNNNNNNNNNNNNNNNNNNNNNNNNNNNNNNNNNNNNNNNNNNNNNNNNNNNNNNNNNNNNNNNNNNNNNNNNNNNNNNNNNNNNNNNNNNNNNNNNNNNNNNNNNNNNNNNNNNNNNNNNNNNNNNNNNNNNNNNNNNNNNNNNNNNNNNNNNNNNNNNNNNNNNNNNNNNNNNNNNNNNNNNNNNNNNNNNNNNNNNNNNNNNNNNNNNNNNNNNNNNNNNNNNNNNNNNNNNNNNNNNNNNNNNNNNNNNNNNNNNNNNNNNNNNNNNNNNNNNNNNNNNNNNNNNNNNNNNNNNNNNNNNNNNNNNNNNNNNNNNNNNNNNNNNNNNNNNNNNNNNNNNNNNNNNNNNNNNNNUCUAUAUAUAUAUAUAUAUAUAUAAAUUAUACUCUAAGAAUGUAACUAUUUUUGAUUUUUUUUUUAUAAAACCUAUUAAGAGUUAAUAAACAUUUCAAGUAUUAAGAUUAGACUUAAAAGAAAUAUUUACAUUAAAGUAGUAUAAGAUUUGGGGUUGCUCAAAAAUUAGGUAUUCACAACAGGUUGAUAGACAAAGUUCAAACCAAAAUCAGUUGGGGUUCUCUUGAGAAGAUCUCAAGGAUCCAAGAAAUCGAAGAGCCAUGGCGUGUGGAAAACCAGGUCCGGUCGGAGAAGACAUAGAAACAUCAUAGGAAGGGUUCAUGUCGGCGACAACAAUUAGGGUUUGAGUAAGGUCUCAGAGAGAAUUUGGAGAUGAAUGGAUUCAAGGAGCGUGCAAAUGAGAGAAUGGGGUAGGGUUUUGGGGGGUCGUUGGAUUAAAGAAAGGAAAAAAAAUUGGACUGUUGAUUUGGAAAAUCAACGGUCGAGAUUAAAAAGUUAGGUUGGGUUCCGGGUUUAGGUAUGGGUUAAUACAACGUGGGUCGGAUUUUAAUUUAAAAUUGGACUGCGAAUUGGGGUCCUUAAUUGGCUUUACUUGAAAGCCAAUUUAGCUGUAAUUUAAAUAGCUAGUUUUCCCUAUUAAAUUUACAAAAAAUAAUAGAUAUUUUCUAAAAAAAUAACUAAAAUGCUAAUAUAAUUUAGGAUACAUAAUUAGCAAUUGAAAAUACAGGAUCCAAUUUUACGCAUAUAAAAUAUAAUUAUAUCUUAAAAGGGUUAACAUUGUAAUUAUGUUACAUUAUUGACUAGAAAUGAAUUUUCUUACAUUUGACUAUGUACCAUUGAAGGAUUUAGUCGCACACUUGAAAGAUAGCCCAUAAAGUUACGGGAAUGACCAGAUAAUUGGUUUAUAUAGAUCCUUCCUGUGUGAAAGCACAGAGAAAAAUGACAUUGCCAAAAAUUGACAAGGUAAAAUUUCCAUUUAUUCAUCAAAAGAAACGUCCCUUUUGAAGCCAGAAUGGAUUUUCCUUGAUACCAAACAUAAUGCUUUAAAAAUACUAAAUGUAAUUUCAAAAAUAUAUAUAAAAAUUAUCUUAACCAUAUUUUGGCGUAAGUAUAGAAAUCGAAUAGAUGAAUUAUCAAAAUAAUAUUUUUUUAAAUAAUUAUUGGGGAUUUUAUGGAUAAAAAGGGAGAAAAUAAAACAAUUAAAAUCCUUAAAAUUAUGGAAAAAAUAAUAAACACCUUGAGAAUGCUUAUAUAUGCAUAUAUAUAUAUAUAUAUAUAUAUAUNNNNNNNNNNNNNNNNNNNNNNNNNNNNNNNNNNNNNNNNNNNNNNNNNNNNNNNNNNNNNNNNNNNNNNNNNNNNNNNNNNNNNNNNNNNNNNNNNNNNNNNNNNNNNNNNNNNNNNNNNNNNNNNNNNNNNNNNNNNNNNNNNNNNNNNNNNNNNNNNNNNNNNNNNNNNNNNNNNNNNNNNNNNNNNNNNNNNNUAUAUAUAUAUAUAUAUACAUAUAUAUAUAUAUAUACAUAUAUAUAUAUAUAUAUAUACAUACACACAUACACACACACACUAUCUUGAAGGUAUUUUACAUAUUUAAAAUAUAUUAAAAAAUUGGGUAUUAACAAUCGGCCCAGCACAGGUCCCAGAGGGAUUCAUUGCUACCCCAGUACUCCAGGAUGCUCUGGUCCGUUUAGUGAGCCUUAUGGAAAGCGUCACUCGGGGAGGCUUUCUUCUUGUAGCACCAGUCGGUAUCUUAGGCUGGAAGAGGAGCCCAAACUCCUACUUCUCACACUCCGGAGAAGAUGGCUCCCCAGUUUAAGACUCCACCAGUUCAGUCGGGUGUGGUAGCUCAGACCGGCGAUGGAGCAGCUAUGUUUUCCGAUGAUUUGAGGAGAUUGGACAGGUUCACCAAGCUCUUCACUACUACUUUCAGCAGUGCAUUUCCUAAGGAUCCCCAGGAUUAUCUAGACAACUGUCAUGAGGUUCUUAGGAACAUGGGGAUAGUGGAGACCAAUGGGGUCCAUUUUGCUACUUUUCGCUUGUCAAGAUCUUCCAGGAUUUGGUGGACAGAUCAUUGCUUAUCUAGACCAGCCGGAUCACCAGCAUUGACUUGGAAGUAGUUUACUCAGCUAUUCCUGAAGAAGUUUCUCCCCAUCACUUAGAGAGAGAUAUAUCAGAGGCAGUUUGAGCAUCUCCAGUAUGGUUCUAUGAUUGUUACUCAGUAUGAAACCAAAUUUAUCGACUUGGCUCGUCAUGCUCUUAUCAUACUUCCCACCGAGACAUGGGGUGAGAAGGUUCAUUGAAGGACUUAUCCAGCCUAUUCGAAUUCAUAUGGUCAAGGAGGCGGGGAGUGAGAUUUCUUUUCAAGAGGCAGUCAAUGUGUCCAGGAGAGUUAAGAUGGUUCAAUUGCUAGGAGGUGGUCAGGGGUCUGACAUGAGGCCUCGUCAUUCAGGCCGAUUCGGUGGCACCUCGUAUGGAGGCAGGGAUUCCUGUGGUAGAAGCCAUCCUCCUAGUCCUUUUCAGUUAGCACUUCAGGUUUCUCACAGUGCUUCAGGUGGUCGUGGUUCCCAUAUGCAGUAUUCUAAUCAGUAUUCAUACAGUGCACCACCAGCUCUUAAUAGUGCACCGCAACGCUAGAGUUUUCGGGGUGGUCAUUUAGAUCGUCAGGGUCAGUAGUCUCAGCAGCCGAGGGCUUGUUACACUUGUGGUGAGAUGGGUCACAUUACUAGGUUUUGCCCUUGAGCAUCGAGCAGCUCUCAACAUCAGGGUUCUAGUGCCAUAGUUCAGGCACCGAGUGUUCCACAGCGCGCCAGCCAGCUAAAGGUAGGGGUAAAGGUGCUAGAGGUGGAGGUAGAGGUAUUCGAGAUGGAGCUCAGGUAGAUAAAGGUGGAGGCCAAUAGUAGGACGUCCUAGAUAUCUAGUUCAGGGUAGUGGGACCCAACCAUGAUGUUAUGCUCAUCCAGCCAGGCCCAAGGUUGACGCUUCCGAUGCAGUUAUCACAGGUACUGUUCUGGUUUGUGGCAGAUAUGCUUCAGUUUUAUUUAAUCCAGGAUCUACAUACUCCUAUGUCAUCUUAUUUUGCAUCGUAUCUAGUCAUGCUUAGUGAUUCUUUGAGUAAUCCUAUUUAUGUGUCUACAUUGUGGGUGAUUCCAUUGUGGUAGAUCGAGUCCAUCAUUCAUGUAUAGUUGUGAUUGUGGGUCUUAAUACUCGUGUUGAUUUGUUUUUUAUGGAGAUGGUUGACUUCAAUGUCAUACUAGGGAUGGAUUAGUUGUCACCUUACCACGCUAUCUUGGAUUGUCAUGCCAAAACUCUAACCUUAGCCUUGCUGGGUUUACCUCAUUUAGAGUGGAGAUGGACUCCUAGUCAUUCAACCCGUAGUGUUAUCUCAUAUCUGAAGGUUCGGCGUAUGGUCGAGAAGGGGUGUUUGGCCUAUUUGUCCUAUGUUCGAGAUUCUAGUAUUGAGGUUCCUUCUAUUGAUUCUAUGAUCGUUGUUCGUGAGUUUCCUGAGGUAUUUCCUUCAGACUUGCCGAGUAUGCCUCUCCAUUGGGAUAUUGACUUUUGCAUUGAUUUGGCUACGGGCACUCAGCCCAUUUCUAUUUUGUCGUAUCGUAUAGCCUCCCCUAAGAUGAAAGAGUUGAAGAAGCAAUUGCAAUACUUGAUUGAAAAAGGCAUUAUUAGACCUAGCGUUUUGUCUUGGGGUACGCCGGUGUUGUUUGUUAAGAAGAAGGCUGGAUCGAUGAGAACGUGUAUUGAUUACCGAAAGUUGAACAAGGUUACAAUAAAAAAUAAGAAUCCAUUGCCGAGGAUUGGUGAUUUAUUUGAUUAGCUUCAGGGUUCCAAGGUACUUCUGAAGAUUAACUUGAUACCUGGCUACCAUUAGUUAAGGAUUAGGGCAUCUGGUGUCCCUAAGACAGCUUUCCACACUUGGUACGGGCUUUAUGAGUUUUUGGUGAUGUCAUUCAUGUUGACAAAUUCCCCAGAAACUUGUAUGGAUUUAAUGAAUCGAGUGUUCAGGUGGAUUCGUAAUAGUCUUUAUUGAUGAUAUUUUGAUCUAUUCCUACAGCCGUGAAGAGCAUGAGUAGCAUCUUAGAAGGUUCUUCGAGCUUUGAGGGAUAGUCAGUUGUAUGCUAAGUUCUUGAAGUGUGAGUUCUGGUUGAGUUCAGUUGCAUUCCUAGGUCAUGUUGUAUUGGGGGAGGGUAUUCAAGUUGAUCCGAAGAAGAUUAAGACACUCGAGAGCUAGCAUAGACCCACAUCAACUACAGAGAUCCGGAGUUUCUUGGGUUUGGGGAGCUAUUAUCAUCGGUUUGUGGAGGGAUUUUCGUUUAUUACAGCCUCGGUGACCAGGUUGACCAUGAAGGGUCCAGUUCAGAUGGUCAGACGAGUAUGAAGCGAGCUUUCAAAAGCUCAAGACAGCUUUGACUACGGCACUGGUGUUGGUUUUGCCCAUAGGUUCAGGGCCUUAUACAGUUUAUUGUGAUGCAUCUCGUAUUGGACUUGGUGCGGUGUUCAUGCAGGAUGGCAAGGUCAUUGACUAUGCUUCACGACAGUUAAAGAUUUACGAGAAGAACUAUCUGAUUCAUGAUUUGGAGUUGGCAGCCAUUGUUCACACGUUGAAUAUUUCGAGGUGUUAUCUAUAUGGCGUUGCAUGUGAGGUGACAUGGAUCACAAGAGUCUGCAAUACGUAUUCAAGCAGAAGGAGCUAACUUUGAGGUAGAGAAGGUGGUUGGAGCUAUUAAAGGACUAUGAUAUCACCGUCGUAAAUCAUCCGGGAAAGGCCAAUGUGGUGGCCGAUGCUUUGAGUAGAAAGUCAGCCAGUAUAGGUAGUCUCGCUUAUAUUCUUGCUAGUGAGAGGCUGCUUGCUUUGUAUGUUCAGGCUUUGGCCAAUUAGUUUGUGAGGUUAGAUGUUUGUGAGCCCAGCCGUGUGUUAUCUUGCACAGUCGCGCGUUCUUCUUUAUUGGAUCGUAUCCGAGAUCGGCAGUAUGAUGAUUCCCAUUUGUGUGUCCUCAAAGACAUGGUGCAUCACGGAAGUGCAAGCAGGUUACCUUAUGAGAUGAUGGAGUUUUGAGAUUACGGGGUCGAGUUUGUGUGCCUAAUGUGGAUGAGAUUCGAGAGUUGAUGUUAGAGGAGCCCAUAGUUUCCGAUACUCUAUUCAUCCUGGUGCUGCAAAGAUAUAUCAGAAUUUGUGGCAGCAUUAUUGGUGGAGAAGAAUGAAGAAGGAUAUUAUUGCAUAUGUGGCUUUUGAAUUGUCAGCAAGUUAAGUACAAACGUCGGAGGCCCGAUGGUUUUUUCAAGAAGAUUGAGAUUCCUGAGUGGAAGUGCGAGCGUAUCACUAUGGACUUCGUUGUUUGACUCCCACGGACUCAGAGGAAGUUCAAUGUAGUGUGGGUAUUGUUGAUAGGCUGACAAAGUCAACAAAUUUUAUUCCUAUGGCAGUCUCAUUUUCUUCCGAGAGGUUAGCUGAGAUCUAUAUCUGGGAGAUCAUUCGUCUUCAAGGUGUGGUUGUGUCUAUCAUUUCGGACCGAGGUACGCAGUUUACCUGACAUUUCUACAGAGCAGAUUAGCGAUAGUUGGGUACACGGGUUAAGUUAAGCACAUCAUUUCAUCCUCAGACAGACGGGCAAUGCGAGCGGACCAUUCAGAUUUUGGAGGAUAUGCUCCUAGCUUGUGACAUUGACUUUGGAGGCUCGUGGGACCAGUUUUUACCUUUAUCAGAGUUUUCCUACAACAACAACUAAUAGUCGAGUAUCUAGAUGGCUCCUUAUGAGGCUUUGUAUGGUAGACGGUGUCGGUCACCGGUUGGAUGGUUUGAGCCGGGAGAGGCUCGGUUGUUGGAUACAGAUUUAGUGCAGGAUGCCUUGGACAAGGUCGGGAUCAUUCAGGAUAGGCUACGUACAGCUCAGUCUAGGCAAAAGAGUUACACCGGCAGUAAGGUUCGUGACUUGGAAUUCAUGGUCGGUGAGCGGGUAUUGCUUCAAGUGUUGCCUGUGAAAGGCGUAAUGAGAUUUGGAAGAAGGGCAAGAUUAGCCCAAAGUGUAAUGGCCGUUUGAGAUUCUUAAUCGAGUGGGAGAGGUGGUUUGCAGAUUUGCGUUGCCACCAAGCUUAUCAGCCAUGCAUCUAGUGUUUCAUGUGUCCAUGUUUCGAAAGUAUCACGGCGAUCCAUCCCACAUGUUAGAUUUCAGCACUGUCCAGUUGGACAAGGACAUGUCCUACGAGGAGGAGCCAGUAACUAUUCUAGAGCGGCAGGUUCGUCAGUUGAGAUCGAAGAGUUUUUCUUCUACUUCUGUUCAGUAGAGAGGUCAGCCUGCUGAGGCAUCAACCUAGAAGUCCGAGUCUGAUAUGCGGAUCCAUUAUCCCUAUCUUUUCCCCGACUCAGGUACUUCCUUUUUCUAUCUGUUCGAGGACAAACGAUUGUUUUAGAGGUGGAGAAUGUGAUGUCCCAAAAGGUCUUCACUUGUUUUAAAAGUAAAUUCUCCAUUCUAAGGCCUUAAAAACCUCUUACUGUCUUACCUCGAGCUGCGUUCAUAGUCUGAGCGCGUAGCCUGAAAGCCAAUAUGUGAAAAUCUAUAAAAAAAAAUUAUGAAUUUUGACAUUAAAAUGAAUUUAAGUUGAUUUCGACCAACUUUUUGGGUAAACAGACCCGGACUCGUGAUUUGACUGUCCCGGAUGGUCCAUAGGAAAAUAUGGGACUUGGACGUAUGGUCAAAAUCGAAUUUCGUGGUCCCAAGCCCAACAAAUAAUUUUUUAAAGAAAAAAAAUAUUUUUUGGAUUAUUUAUGAGUUUUUGAAAGUGAAAUGUAUUUAGAGUUUGAUGGUAUCAGGCCCGGUUUUUGGUUUCAGACCUCGAAACAGGUCUUAUAUAUGAUUUGACUCGAACCUGUGAAAUUUUGUAAGAAACGAACUUGAUAUGACGUGAAUCAAACCUUAUUUGAGAAAAUUAAAAUUUUUUAUUUUCUUAAGUAAUUUCAUGAUUUUGAUGUUAAAUUCACAGUUAUUGAUAUUAUUUUGGUGAUUUGAAUGCACGAGUGAGUCCGUAUAAUAUUAUUAGAUUGGUGUGCAUGUUUGGUUCGGAGAUCCGAGGGCUCGGCUGAGUUAUAGAGAGGCCACGGGGUGGAAUUUGGACUUGGGAAAAUUGCAAGUUUCAACUGUUCUAUUGCAGACCUACAGGCUUAGCAUUUCUGAAGCCUAGCUCGCAAAUGCAAGGAAUGAGUCUCAAAUGUGAAGUAUCCCAGGCCAGCCUUCCCUCGCAAAUGCGAGUUUUCCAUCGCAAGUCGCAAAUGCGACAGGAUGUUUGCCAAAGCGACUUUGAAAAUGCGAAGGUCGCUUCACAAAUGCGAUGUUAGCAGAGUUUGGGUUCGCAAUUGCGAAUCCUGGUUGCAAUUGUGAUACCUACAACUUGUAAGUUCAUAACUUAGAUGCAUUUUCAACCAAUUUUCACAUAUUCCAAAAAAAAAUAAACUCUCUACGAAGAUAUUUCAAAGGAAACAUCUUUUCCUAAUCGAUUAUAAGUGAUUUCUAACUAGUUUUCUUCAAUAGAAAAAGGCUCAAAAUGCCUAUAAAUUAUUGAAAAAGGUUAAAACAUACCCUCCAUCCAUCUGUCGAGCUAAAAAUACCCCUCCAUCCAAUUUUUUGGUUCACUUAUGCCCUUUAACUAUUAGGUCACUACUAAAUUAAAAAUUAUUAUUAUUAGUUUUUUAAAACUUUAUAAAAAAUUGCAAAAUAUUUUCAUUUCUUUAAACUAAUGCACCAAUAGUCCGCUAAUUUAGUAAAGUCUUCUUAUUUUAUUUUUUCAAUUUUUAACAAAAAUAAUUUUACUUUCAUUUUUUUCUGUUUUUAAAGCAUUUUUUUGUGAAAACUAAAAAAAAAUUAAUAAAGUAUUUUUUCGUUUUUUAAAAAGUGAAAAUAAUGUUUUCAACAAAAUAUUUUUUUUUUGAAAAAUACUCUUUUCCAUUUUUUCAGUUUUUUUAAAGCAUUUUAUUUUCAUUUUUCAGUUUGUGUUUAAAGAAGAAAAAUUUUCAUUUUUUAAAAAACUGAAAAGAUUGAAAAAAUAUUAUUCAAAAGCAAAAAUAUUUUGUAGAAAAUAUUUUUUCCAGUUUUUAAAAACUAUAUUUUAUUAAAACAUUUUUCCCCUAUUUUUACCAAAAAUAAAAAAGAUGCAGUUUUUACAAAAAAAAGUGCUUUAGAAAAACUUAUAUAAUAAUAUUUUUUGUAAUAACUGAAUUGUUUUUGUAAAAACAGAAAAAAAAAAAAAGAAGAAAACUUUACUAAAUUAGUGGACAACUAAGCAUUAGUUUAAAAAAAAAGAAAAUAUUUUGUAAAAUAUUGUUUUUUAAGUUUACAAAAAGAAUAAUAAUUAUUUUUAAUUCAACAUUGGCCCAACAGUCAAAUGGUAUAAGUGAAUUAAAAAUGUGGAUGGAGAGGUAUUUUUAGCCCAAUAGUUUGAUCAAGGGUAUUUUAAAAUAUUUUUCAAUAUUUUAAGGGCAUUUUGAACCCUUUUCCGUUUCUUUAAUCUUUAAUAUCUUUUCACAUGAUUUCGAUUCAAAAUUAAUGAUUUUCAUAUGGGAAAUAGGGUGUUUUGGCUAGAACCUAGGUUUUCAAAAUUUGAGGAUCCGACCUCGAUUUGAGGUCUGGUUUUAAAAUAAGUUAUAUAUUUGAGUUUGUGAGAGAAUGUGUAAUUGGCUUUAUUGUUCGAACCUCGGAUUUUUACCAUGUGGGCCAAAGGGCAAUUUUUUUUACUUUUGGGAAAACUUUGGAAAACUUAUUUUCAUGCAUUAGAAUUGAUUCAUUUAGCAUUUAUUGAUGUAAUUAAGUAACUUGUGGCUAGAUACAAGUGAAUUGGUGGUCAAAUAAAGGGGUAAAGUGAUAGUUGAGACUUGAAUUAUGUUCGUGGCAUCGAGGUAAGUGUUUGUUCUAACCUUAGCUUGAGGUAUUAGGAGUCGAGUCCUAUUUGCUAUGUGGUAUUUGUUGAGUAUGAUGUAUAGUCAUGGUGACGAGUAUCAAUACAUUCGUGUCAAGCGUUCACGUGAGUCUUAUUGUGAUUAUUAUGACUUCGUUGUAUUAUUAAUGUCUUUGUGAUGAUUUCUAUUAUGGGGCAAAGUUUGUGGAAGUAAUUGUGAACUUGAAUAUUGAGGAGCGUUGGCUCAAGUUGUAUAAUGAAAUAUGAAAGUACAAGUGUUAAUUGAAUCUUUUGGAGCAUUGGCUCAAGUUGUGAAGUGAGUUGUGAAGUAAAAGUGAGAAAGCGAAGAGAAUUAUUAUGUUGCCUCCCUUGCCGGGAUAUUGUUGCUUUUAGUUCUAUCUCUCUUGUGGGGAUGUUGAUGUUUCUUUUGAUAUUGUUCACUUGGCAGGACUUGAUUGUUGAACUAUUGUUCACUUUCCAGGACUUGAUUGUUGAACUAUUGUUCUCUUGCUGGGAUUCUUAUUGUAAUUUUAUUUAUUUCCUUGCCCUAUAGUUUGUGAUUGUUGUUAUGGUGAGGAAGAAUGCUAAUGCACAAAGUGUGAUGCCAUGUAUUGAUUUGGUAAGAGAGUGUUAAAGCACGAAAGGUGAUGCCGUGUAUGAUUUGUGAGGAAGAGUGUAAAGCAUGAAGGGUAAUAUCGUGCCGCACGAUGUACAAUUUCAUGCCGAUUAUAUUGAUUAUAUGGUGAGGACGAGAAUAAAAGUACGAAGGGUGAUGUCGUGCACUUGUUUGAUUCUGUUUCUUGUUGAUAGCUAAGAUAUGGUAUUCCUCUUAUUUACUCGAUGUCUUCUAUUCUUAAGUGGUAUUUCCCCGCAUCAAGUUUCUCUCUCUCAUACUUGACUGUAUAUUACUGUUCUUUUUCUCUGUUGUAUAUAGUUAAACUACACAGCUUUAUUUGGUACUCUGGUCCUAGCCUCGUCACUACUUCGCGGAGGUUAGGCUAGGCACUUACCAGCACAUGGGAUCGAUUGUGUUGAUACUACACUCUACAUUGUGUGCAGAUCUGGGAGCAGAAGCUUUUGGACCUUAGCUUGGGUGGCUGCCUUAAGUCCAUACGGAGACCCAAGGUAGUCCUACAGGCGCCCGCGGGCCCUGGCAUCUCCCGCUAUCCCUUUAUCCCGUUUCAUUUACUUAUUUCAGAAACAGUGUAUCAUUUAUCUUUUGGACUUUGUUUGUAGUACUUUUAGACCGUCUAUGAAGCUAUGACACUAGUUUUGGAUAGACGUUGUUCAAAUAGUUGUAUUGGAUAUAUAUUCGGAUAGUUUUAUUGCUUUUCUUUCGCUUGUCAUAGAUUUCUUUGUCUACACAUUAUUAUUUUAUAAUUGUUAAAGAAUUAAAAUGGGUAAAAGGUAAUUUGUUCAAAUAGUCGACUUGCCUAGCUCAUAUUAGUAGGUGUCAUCACGACUCUCGAUGGUAGAAAAUCCAGGUCGUGACAUGGGGCAAGUACCGAGACCCCCGAGGUCGAAUAGAGCGCCCUGGAUGACUUUCUCGGGGCCAUGACAAUAAGUCACUCCCCUCAUCUACCAUCUUAUUCCUAAGAGGCAAUAAAGGAAGCUCAAGCUCUGUAAACGCUCAACCUGAGCAGCGUCCCCAGCGAAGAAGAUCCCUUCCAAGAUUGCUUUACUGGGGUCGAUGAUAUCGUCGACCUCAAUGAUGCAUUUACCCUCUUUGAAGAGGCUUAUUGUCUCUUCUCUCGGGUAAGCAUUAGCUCUUAUUGUUGCAAUAUUUUCUUCUCCUUUUACACUAACUGACAUCCUUUUUAUUCGUGUAGGCAUUACCGAGUUUAGGAUCAAACUGAUUCAAUGUGAGGCGAGCUCAAGAGAUCCUCGGAUGAAGGGAAGGCCCUGAGGCUCCUUCACAGCCAAAAGGAAAAGGAGGUCAAAGACCUUCAGGAAGAUUUGGCCAAAGCUCGUCAAAAUAGCGCCGAGCUAGACAAGCAUGUAACCAUCAUUUUGCAAGAGUUGAUCUAGUUGAACUAACUAUGGAGGCUAACACUUUAAUGUCUCAACUGCAGCAAAAAUUGGACAUGAUCAGGCAGCUUCGAGGGGAGGCCGACCAAGUUAAGGCUGACUGCAACUAAUGGAAGGAAAACAUGGAUAGACUUGCCGCUGAGAAAGAGGCUGCUCUAGCCAACCUAGCCUCGGUUGAGACCCAGUUUGGAGGAGCCAAAGUGAAAAAACUAGACCAGGCCAAGAAGAUGAAUGAGCUCGAGGCCCAACUUGCCGUAAUCGGGCUGAGGUUUCUUAGUCCAAGGCCGAGGUCGAGAAGACGAAGGCUACGGCUGAUAAGACCGUUUUUGUGUAUCUAAAAGAUGUUGAGGCUGAUCAAAUGGAACUAAGGGAAUCCUCUACCCUGGAUAAACGGAUCAGUGAUUUGGCCAAGUGCCAAUCCCAGAGGGAGACCCUUGAAGAAAUUCAUACUCGAGGUUUCGACCUCAUCAAGGAGAUAGCCCAAACAAAAAUGCUCGAGGCUGAUGCCAAGUUCCUUAUCUCCUCCGACGAUGAUGAUGAUGCCAAAGGUAGCUAAAGCAGGUCCGAUAACGAAGCUGGGCCCAAAGAAGAAGCUGCUCCCAAGGGAGAGAACAACCCUAGGCAUAGAUAGGAUUUUUCUUUCUUUUUGUAUUGUUCUUUGUUUGUAAGACCUUUCGUCGGUCUCUUGUACAUAUCUUUUUUCAACUAUAUAAAGAAGGAUUUCCUUGGAUGAUUUCUCGAUAUUUUCUGCCUCGUAAAAUUCUUGUAAUGACUUCAUUCUUUUUAACUCUGUGUUUGAGAUUUUAUCUCAGAUUUUUUUUUUGAAAUUGCCAUGGUCGACUUCGAAUAAGUUCGAACUUUGGACAUAGAUCUUUACGAGAUUGUGGUGAAUAAGAAUGAGUCCCCGAGCCAUGAUCAAGCCAUCAUUUGUCUUGGGUUCGAACUGAGUGAGAGCGAGGACUCGAACUCUAAUUGUAUUUACCUUGUAGUCUUACCAAAUCGGACCUUAGGCUCUUUUAUAUCGGCCCUUCGGCUCUUUUAGGUCGGCCCUUAGGCUCUUUGAUUUGGGCCAAUUCGGCCUAUAAAAUGGCUAUAAUUUUUCCCUCUUUUCGCUAAAAGACUUAGUGAAAAUUUUCUUUAUGCCUUAGCAUGUGGUUUUUUUGUACUUGUUGGGUUUUUAGAGGGUUUAAUCGAUUAGAACCCAAUUUGUAAUCCAUUUGUGUUAAGAUAAUUAACGCCUCUUGAGGCUUUUCCGAAGGAUGAUGCUAUCGAAGCCUUUAAAUUAUAUAAGGGCUGAUUUUAUCGAAGCCUUUUUUUAUUUGCUUUUGCCGAGGGUAGCCUUAUUUAACCGUUUUUUAAAAGUAUUUGAAGGCCUUUAACUUAUGGUGGAAAUCGGAUGUAUCUGAGCCGCAUUAUUUUGGACGUAGACUUUUUAUAUACACCUCUUGAGGCUUUUCCGAAGGAUGAUGCUAUCGAAGCCUUUAAAUUAUAUAAGGGCUGAUUUUAUCGAAGCCUUUUUUUAUUUGCUUUUGCCGAGGGUAGCCUUAUUUAACCGUUUUUUCAAAGUAUUUGAAUGCCUUUAACUUAUGGCGGAAAUCGGAUGUCUCUGAGCCGCAUUAUUUUGGACGUAGACUUUUUAUAUGACUGUAGUCUUUAAUACGGUCGUAGCCCUCGGGUGUGUCUAUUGGACUUGUUUCCUGAUAACCUUUCGAACUUGUCCGAAAGGUUAGUCCCCAUCUAUGGUGGCCUUGGCCUUUGCAUCGAGGGAUGCCUCUUUGAGGUCUUACUAAUUCGAGCUUAGAUGUUUGAAUGUGUUGACAAUCGAUAACAGUCCCCGAGUAUUUGAGGUGUAUUUGUAUUUUGGCCCUUGAGUCAUUUCUCUCAGAAUCACAAGUAUGAUGUUUGUAUAGUAGAAAAUUUCUUUGAGACAUAAAGUGUAUUGAUUUAGAAAGAAUGCUUCUUUGAAUAAUUGAUACAGACGUACAUGUUUUGCCAUCGGGACUCGACUAUUCUAUAUGGAAAUGGUUCAUCUAAUCAUUUGGCUAAUUACAAAGUUUUCUAUCGAGGCCCUCUUUGGCAUGAAGUAUUUUUCUCAAAAAUAUAUCCUCCAAGGGUGAUCCCCCCCCUCCCCCAAUAUUCGAGGUUGAUUGAAAAUAAGCCUUGUAUACGGUUGAAUUCUCUUUAGAUAGCACAUAGUUGUUGCCCCGCUAAAACCUCGCUAGAAAAACCCCUUUGGGAUAAAACCCAAUCUAAGGGCAAAGAGUGCAACGCAUGCUUUAAAACCUAAGGUCUUCAUGUAGAAAGGUGCCCUCGACAUCUUCGACUGAACACCUAUAAUGAGUUAGUUUUAAAUACAAAUGGAGAAAAGGAGAAGGUCAUAUCUUAGCAGUAAUAUCAUUUGAGUAGUGAUAUGUUCCAAUUGUUUGAUAAUUGUUCGCCUUCCAUCGUGCCAAGUUUGUGAGAUCCUUCACCGAUAACUCUGAUAACUCAGUACGGUCCUUCUCAAUUCAGGCCUAGAUUCCCUUUAUUCAGGUCUCGAGUAUUGAGGGUCACUUUCCAUAAAACUAAGUCCCUGAUUCCAAAGUGCCGGAGGUUGGUCCUCCUAUAUUAAUAUCUUUCAAUAUUUUAUUUCUACGCAGCCAUCCAAACAGUGCAACUUCUCAUUUUUCAUCUAAUAGCCCGACGCUAGUAUUCAUCGCCUCAUUAUUUGAUUCCUCUGAUGCAUGUCAAAAUCGGGCAUUGGGUUCCCUGACCUUAACUAGAAUCAAGGCCUCAGAGCCAUAUACUUAAGAGAAUGGGGUUGCCCCCAUGCUGGACUUCGAUGUAGUUCGAUAUGCCUAAAGAACCUUUGGGCAUAACUUCUCUCCAUUUCCCUUUAGCGUCAUUCAACCUUUUCUUCAAGUUUUGGAUGAUAGUCUUAUUGGUUGACUCGGCCUGCCGUUCCCGAUUGGAUUUGUGUGCUUCGAGGAACUCUGCUACCUUGCUGCUGAUGAAUUGCUUAUCGUUGUUGCAUACGACUUUGAUAGGCAUCCCGAAUCGACACACAAUUUGGUCCCAAAUGAAGUCAAUAACUUCUUUUUCUCUGACCUUCUCGAAGGCCUGUGCUUCCACCUAUUUAAAAAAGUGGUUAAUCAUAAACAAAAUUAAUUUAAAUUUACCUGGGGCCGUUAGUAGAGGGACGACGAUGUCCAUUCCUCGUUUCAUGAAAGGCCAUAGGGACAGGACUGAGUUGAGUUUCUCUCCAGACUGAUGAAUCAUCGGUCCAAACCUUUGACAUUUAUAACACUUUUUAACAAACUCCUUAGUGUUUUUUCCAUGCUACCCCAAUAGUACCAUGCUCUAAUAAUUUUUUGAAUCAAGGACUCAACGCCCUAGCGAUUCCUACAAGUGCCUUCAUGGAUUUCUCGUAGAACAUAAUCGAUGUCCCCCGUCCCUAAAAAUACUACCAGUGGUCCAUGAACGCCCUCCUAUACAAUGUUCCAUCCUCAUCCAAUGUGAACCUAAUAGCCUUGGUUCAAAUAGACCUUGACUCUUUAUGAUCCGAUGGGAAAUUCCCAUUUUUCAAAUAUUCGAUAUACUUAUUCCUCCAAUCCCAAGUCAAACUUGUAUAAUUUAUCUCGGCAUGACCCUCUUCGACCACAUACCUCGAUAAUUGGACAUAAGUCCCUAGGAUAAUAUCAUCUUCUUCAACCGAUUACCCCAAGUUGGGGAGUGCAUCAGCCUCACUAUUUCGUUCUCGAGGCACAUGAUCUAGAGCCAUUUCCUUGAAAUGGUGCAAGGUUACUUGUAGCUUGUCCAAAUAUCUUUGCAUCAUAUCCUCUAGAACUUCAAAGCUUUUAUUUACUUGGUUUACCAUCAACAGAGAAUCAUACUUGGCUUCAAUGACUUAUGCCCCAAGCUUUUAGCUAGCUUGAGACCUGCAAUCAUGGCCUCAUACUCUGCCUCAUUACUGGUUAACCUAGAAGUUUUAAUUGAUUGUUAAUAUCGUUACUUGUUGGUGGCUUCAAAACGAUGCCAAUCUCGGACCCUUUAACAUUCGAGGUACCAUCUGUGAAGAGGGUCCAUACCCUCGAUGAUGUACCCGAUUUUAGCAGAAGUUCUUUUCCACUUCGGGUACUAGGGUCGAUGUAAACUUGGCCACGAAGUCAGCUAAAAUUUGAGACUUGAUGCUUGUUUGGGGUUGAUAUUAGAUAUCAUACCCGCCAAGUUCGACUGCCUAUUUGGCCAAUCAGUCUGAUAGCUCGAUCUUAUGCAAAACAUUUCGGAGAGGAUAAAUGGUUAACACACAUAUUGGGUGACACUGGAAAUAUUGCUUUUGUAUUCUAGAAGCGCUUAUUAAUGCAAGUGCUAAUUUAUCUAAGGGUGGGUAUCCAGUUUCAGCAUCUCCUAAAGUCCGACUUGCAUAAGAAACAUGGAAUUGCGUACCUCGCUCUUCUCGAACUAGUACUCAUUUUACCGCUAUCUCGGACAUCGCCAAAUAUAAGUAAAGCUUUUCAUCAACCUUCGGAGGGUGAAGCAGAGAUGGGCUCUAUAAAUAUCGCUUCAAUUUCUCCAUUGCUUGAUAGCAUUUCGGUAUCCAUGCGAAAUCCCUUUUCUUUUUGAGCAAGGAAAAGAAUUUGUGGCUUUGAUCCGACGAACUCGAAAUGAAUCGACCCAAGGGGGCUAUCUGUCCCGUUAACCUUUGUACGACUUUCACACUAUCUACGAUAGUGAUAUAUUUGAUGGCCUUGAUUCUGUAGGGGUUGAUUUUGAUCCCUCGAUUUGAUACCAUAAAGCCGAGCAACUUGCCCUAACCGUCCUCGAAGGCGCAUUUUCUGGGUUAAGCUUCAUGUUGUACUUCCUCAAGAUUUUGAAUGUUUCCUGCAAAUGAGUUAAAUGGUCCUCUACUUGAAGGAACUUAAUCAACGUAUCAUCAAUGUAAACUUCCAUUAAUUUACCUAUCUAUUCCUCAAACAUUCUGUUAACUAAGCGUUGGUAUAUAGCUCCGGCAUUUUUUAGCCCAAGCACAUUACAUUGUUAGCAGUAUGUUCCAAACUUAGUGAUAAACGAGGUCUUCUCCUGGUCCUCCGGGUUCAUCUAAAUUUUGUUGUACCCAGAGUAGGCGUCGAGAAAGGUAAGGAUCUCGUGGCCAGUCAUGGAAUUGAUCAUGCGAUCGAUGUUAGGUAGUGGAAAAGAGUCUAUAAGACAUGCCUUUUUUAAAUCCUUGUAAUCUACACACAUUCUAAGGUCCCCGAUUAUAAGUUCUCGUUGACCACGACCUAUAGGAACCAGGCUAUCUGCCGCUUUUAACCCUGUUUGCAUAGGCUCGUGCACAGAUUUACGUUCAAUAAUACCAGGGGCUUUCACUUCGACACGUCUUCGCUCGUGAUCGCUUAGAGCCCCCCUUCCAUCAAUAGGUACUCCCAAGCCAUCGACCACACGCCCUAGCAUAGCCUUUCCCGCAGGAACAUCCACAAUAGAUCCAGUGCGCUUGACAAGAUCUCCUUCUUUAAUAGCAGUAUCACUCAGAUUUUAAUUGGUUUGAGGAUUUCGACCUUGAACUAGAACAUGUUCUGUUUUCUUUGGACAGGCAGGAAAGAGAGAUCGGGAUGAUGGAGACUUGAAGAAGUAUAGUAUAAAUCAAAUAGAAGGCCCGUUCGUAGAUCAGCACAAAGCUAUUAAUCCAAUCCGAUCCAAGAUGAGUAACCGAGUUCUUCUUCCUAUGGUUGGCACGAGAAUCCCUCUCAAAGGGGAAGAAUCUGAUU